AGUAACACAGGCAGCAUCCCCUCCCACCACAAGUAAUCCACCAACUAUUUCCCAGCCACCUGCAAUUGUAGCUCCCAAACCUGCUCCAGUGACACCACCUGCUCCAAAAGUUGCACCAGCUUCAAGCCCAAAAGCACCAACACCCCAAACUCCACCACCACAACCACCAAAAGUAUCACCUGUCGCAGCUCCCACAUUGCCACCCCCACUACCUCCACCACCUGUUGCUACGCCACCGCCGUUGCCACCACCAAAGAUAGCUCCAACACCGGCCAAAACAUCCCCUGCACCUGCACCAGCAAAGGCAACACCAGCACCUGCUCCUGCACCUACAAAGCCGGCUCCAACACCAGCUCCCAUUCCUCCACCGCCAACACUGGCACCAACUCCAAUAGUAGAGGUACCAGCACCUGCGCCAUCGUCACAUAAGCAUAGAAGGCACAGGCACAGGCACAAGAGACAUCAAGCACCAGCUCCAGCACCAACAGUUAUUCACAAAAGUCCUCCGGCACCACCUGAUUCCACAGCAGAAUCAGACACAACACCAGCACCAUCACCAAGUCUGAAUUUGGUAAUAUCUUUGUCUAGUGAAAUAUCAAAUUACAUUAAAAUUACACACAAAUAUGUCUCAUCUGUUUCACAUUGUUUUGAUCACAUUUUUUACUUCCUCAUUUCACAGAAUGCUGCACCAUCAAACCACCAGCAAAGGAGUAUACAGGCAACGGCUGCACUUGCCAUCACUGUUUUGCUAGCCGUCACCAGCUACAGCUGCUAGCAGCCUCAUGGAGACCAUGGAUUCACUUUAAUGAGUUAUUUGGCUUGCAAAAUAUAUAAUCAUUUAAUGUGUAUAGAUCUGAAUCAUGAGAAUCUAUACCUAUGAUUCUUUUUUUUUUUUUUUAUUGUUGUUAUCUUUGCUCAGAAAUAUUAAUGGAUAUGAAUUUUUGAAUUAUGACAAUAAUCUGGAGAUGUUAAACAAAAUGUCUCUAGUUUUAUAAGUUAUUUCAUCAAACUUGAUCAGUUUCUGAGUCUAUGUUUAUUUUCUCCCGAAAGUCAUAAAACUCCCUGAUAAGUCCAAGAUUGUCAACUAAUUUGUUAUGCCUUAGAUAUCCUGCACACUAGUAAGAUGAAAUUCCCAUCAAUUACUUACAAAGAAUAUGUAUUUGCAUAACACUAACUUUACAAAAUAUGUCUAUAAAGAAUGAAGGAAAGCAUGAGAAAAUAAUAUGACCAUCAUCAAUAAGGUUUCCAAAGACAAACGCAUACUCAGCAGCACAAGAUUAAAAUGUAACCACAAAACUGGUCGCUAGACAAUGAGCACAUAUAAAACUUUAACACACUUGCACACAUUACCCAUUCCAUAAGUUAAUGAACUUUCAGAACAAGUUGACACACAGCAAUGCAAUCCAGUUACUCCCUUUGUAUGAUAAACACCAGACUCAACCAGGAGAGGGUAGAUGGCUGGAAAUUUAUUUUUCAAUUCCUGAAGGAAAAAAAUUGGUGUUCCAUUUUGAUAUUUUAUAGAAUAAAGAUAUGGUGAACAUUAAUAUGUUACAUACACAUAAACAGGGAUCGGAUAUGGCAAGUUGGCAACUAGUGAGAGGUUGAUGAACCAACAAAGAUAGUCUUAAUUUAAAAUACCAAACUUGGCGGAAACGUGAUUCCGUUAUAUACAUUUUUUUUGUACUUCUAAAAAGGUGUUUUCAGAAUUAUGUUAGCAUAAUUUCAGAAAGGUGUUUCCAGAAUGCAUGUUAUUUUUGUAGAAAAGCUACUAUGAAAAAACUUUUCUGGAAAUUGAUUUUGGAAACUUGUUUAUGGAAAACAUGAAUUUUGUUUUCCAGAAAAGUCUUUCCAGAAUUAUGCUAACAUAAUUUUGAAAAGGUGUUUUUGGAAUACAAAAAUCAUGUUUGUGUGGUGCUGAUGUCUGUGUGUUGUUUGCAAGGUGUUGGGUGGUAUUGGGUGGUUGCAACUGUGGUGGUGGUAGUGUUUGGGUGUGUAGUUAGCUGGAGAUGGGUUAUGCAUGGGAGAGGCAAGGGUAUUAUCGUUCAUUUGAGACUUUUUGGGGGGUGUAGGAAGUAAAAGCUUCCCAUGUGUCUUAUGUUUUUAAAAUUUGACUUAGUUUUUGGAUAAGGGAGUUGUUGUUCUCAUCCUCUAAAAUGCUAUUCUCACCCUUUUCAUUUUGGAAAAUUGUAAGAAGAUAAUGUUAUCUGUAACAUCCCAUUUUUUUCAUAGAUUAAUUCAAAAAAAGUUGUUAUUUGUAAAUAAAUAAGUUUUAUGAUAAGGUUUUUGUAAUUAAAUAAAUAAAGAGAAAUAAGUGUAUUAAAAUAAUAGUUUGAUAAAAAAAAUAAAGAGGAUAUUUUAUUUAUUCAUCUGAUAGAGAAUAAAAUAGAGUUUGUUUUUAUAAAAUAAUAAAAAUAAAUAAAAUAAUAGGUUGUGAGUACCCUAGGUAUAAAUAACGAUAUGUUAGGUCAGGAAAACGACGAUCUCGGACUCAUUCACCGUUGUAUCAUAGUGAAAUUUGAGCACCACGUUCGCAACCCAAUUCUGAGCAUUCUCACCGUUGGGAAUUGCAAAAACAUGUCGAAGCUAAGAGAAAUACCCUUUGCAUCGUAGCUUUCUCUUUUCUCGUAGAAACCCAAAACGGUCUCAGUAAAACUAUGAUCUCAGUUUCAUUAACCGUUGGAUUUUCAUGAAAUUUUAAUUUGUAGUUUGCAAUUCAAUUCCACACACUUUCACCAUUGGGAUUUGCGAGAUAAUAUUCACUGAGAGAGAAAAAGGAAUCGCACGAAGACAGUACAUAUGAAGGCUUCAAUCCCUUCUCUGUCUCUCUGACAUUUGGAAACUCUAUCAGAGCAGUCGGAGGAAAAACUGGAGGAAUCUUAGGGAACCGCUAGAGAUGCAGCUAUCGCUGUCGGAAGACACGUGAUUCUGCUUAGAGGUAAGGGAUGAGUUAUUCACAAUUGAAGGUUAGUGAAAACAUGUGUAGAGAUCCUUAAAGGAUUAAAUUGGGAUUUUAUUUUUGGAUGUUUAUUAAAUUGCAAUUUUUCCUUUAUAAUUAUAAAUAAAAUAUUGAUGUUCUGAUGAGAAUUGCUUGAUAAAUUAUGUUCUUGAUAUUUGUAUAUUUUGACCUAUGAUUUUGAUAUAAUUGUGUAAUAUUAUUUGAAGGGUUUUAGUCCCCAAGUUGUGAUAGUCUUUUGUAUAAAUUGUUAUAUUGAGGAUAUGAAAUGAUGAUUCAAAUUGUGAUUAUGUGGUGGAUUGAACAUGUGAUGAAUGAUGGAAUACAUGUAUAUUGAGAUGUGUAUUGUGUUGUGAGCUAUGAAUUGUGAAAUCACACAAUUGUAAGACCCUUUAAGGGCGAUGAGUUUUAUGCGACGAGUAUUGUGAUGUGAUCCAUUGUGGAAACCCGACAAGUUUAAUCACAAGCGCGACGAGUUAAAAUGGUUUUGAAAAUAAUUGAGUAGUUGUGUGUAUUGCAUAAUUCACAGGUAAAGUGAAUAUGAUUCGUGAGUCUGAUAACAUGCUAUUUUGAGAUUAUACCAUUCUAAUUGAGAUCGAGUGUAUGUGAUAAACUGAGUAUGCGCAUGAUUGAGAUGUUGUGUGCAUUGAGUUGUAAACUGUGGAUUGUACAAUCGCACGAUUAUUAGACCCUUUAAGGGCGACGAGUUAAUGUUAAGACCCUUAAAGGGGGACGAGUUAAAAAUAUUUAAGAACAAUUGAGGAGUCGUGUGUUUUGUAUAGUUCAUAGAUAGAGUCUGUGUGCUAAAAUAUUUUCUGGGUUGGACCUGAAUCAGGAAGGAGAGGCCCUGACGGACUCUUCACAGUGUAGGCUUUGUGGGUCACCCGGUUUGAGUGCUCCUUUAAGCCUGUGCCGAUCCCACAUGGUUGGAGCAUUCUCGCAAAACACUGUGACCCUGACUGGUCUCCCUAUGAUAUUACCUUGUGAGAGUGACUUGACUUGCUAGUGUGUGGUUUGUCUUGUCAUAUACUCCUAGGCGCCCGACGAGAUUUUUCACUGACAUGGUACCACAUUGCAUAUAAGAUUAAGUCUUAGUGUAUCUGCUGCAUAACACUUGUGUAUUGUUCUAUAUUGAUUGAUUUGAUGAUAAUGUGUUUUGACUAUUAAGUAUGCGAAUGUCGUGAAAACGAAUGAGACGUGUGGUGAAAUAACGUGAGUUAUGCUCAAGUAAAUUGUAUUUUGUUAUAUAAUAUUUAUACCUAUAUGUUGUCUUAUUUUUCUCUAUUAGUUAGGAAUGUGAUAACUUACUUCCUGUGUGUUGUUUGUGUUUGGAUCCUGUGAUGAUCUUGAACUUUAUGUUCGGGGGAGCAGAUGAUUAAGUGAAUUUCUUUAAGGAACCUUGUGUUGAAGGACGUUGGGACACAAUGCUCUAAUAAGAUGUGACAUUAGGAUAUAAGUUACUAUAUUAAUUGUAUGAGGUCUUUGACAACCUUGUUUUGAGCCGAAAUGAUUUAUUAAUUAUUUGAACAAGUUUUAUUAUGAAUUAGAGAAGUGAAUGUGAGCCUUUUAUCCUUUUGAGAGACUUGUAUUUAAAUGUAUUUUAAAAACUUUUAAUUAAAUCUGAUCUCUUAUUUCUUUUAUUUAUUUAUAUAAAUGUCGGGGUAGAGGGUGUCACAUUAUCUCUCUUCAGUUUCCCUUCACCUUUCUCUUUCCCUUCCCAUUCUUGCUACUGCACCCCCCCCCCCCCCCCUCCAACUCAUCACCUUUUUUCGAUGUUUUGGUGCCAACAAAAACAUGAUUUGGUUGUUACUCCACCAUGGAAUCAUGAUUUUGUUUUGAGUAGAACAUAGUCAUAUUUUGUUGUACAAUUGUAUAUGCAUAAUGAAAAUUUUUUUUUGUGUUUCUCAAUUGAAACACUCAUUGAAAAUCGUAUUUUCAUUAUGGAUUUACAAAUGAUACAUAAGGAAAAUAUGAUUUUGUUGUGUUUUUCAAAAUAAUUGUAUUUUUUAGGAAUUAAAAUCAUAUUUAAGCUUUUAAAUUUUGGAGAACCAAGAACAAAAUAUGACUCAACUUUAAAAUACUAAAAAUAUAUUUAAAUCUUUUUUUAAAAUCAGCUCUAUUUCCACUCCUUCCUUCUGUUUCUCGGUUGUUCCCUGCUACCAAACAUAGAGUGCAAGUCUCCAAUGAUUUUGACUUCCAAAAAUCCCGACCUCAAACUUCUAAAAGCUAUAAGCUCUUUCCUCUUCUCAUUAAGGCCUUAAGUGGGUUUUAAUUCGCACAUUUUGCACCUAACUUUACUUAUCAUAAACUAUUUAAUCAUACACUCAACGCUGAAAUACAAGCGCUCGACACUUAAACAUAGUAAAUUCAAUGCUUUGUCAGUACCUGACGCUCUCAAAGGCACCUAACGCUGCAUGAAAGACUAGCAUGUAGUGUACAUUGGCUUCAUUUUCUAGAAUUUUCCUAGUAAAUAAAUAUAAAAAAAAAUACUACUAAAAAGUUGAGGUUACUUUCUUAACGUAUAAAAUACUAAAAACAUGCAAUAAAGCUUUAAAACAUAGAGACAUAUGUAUAAAAUACGCUAUAAAUUUACAUUAAUUCUAGCUAGGUUUAUCAGUGUAAACAUUUUAUGUGUUUUCCCUCAAACCUUCCCAGCCACGUAAUAUGAUUAAUAUCCAAGGUUUUGUGGUGCUAUUGAGGUGUUGUCUUACCAAGGAGACAUAUUCCCUUUUUUUUUUUAUCGUUAUACUUACAUUUCGAAAAUACAUAGAUAAAAUGUAAAAUAUAGAUACAUUGAUUCCCAUUUCAAUUCAGAUUCAUUUAAUUCAAAAUCCACUUAAUAUAAGUACAAAAUGGUGUAACCCUUAACCGCAUGAUAACUUUGGUGGGUUCAUAAUAACUUCGGAUGACUUACUAAAGAUCAUGACAGCAUUAAAAUUGUUACAUAAUAACAAUGAUAUGCUGCAAUGAAAAUUAUUAUAGCUUUUCCAUUUUUUUUAAAUAUUUCAAACCGUUGUACGAGGUAAAUAUAUGUUCCCAUCUUUACAAGUUUUGGUUUAGUCUACCUUAUUCUUUUCAAGAUCAGGAGCCAACUUUGAACCAAUAAGGGCUGGCCCCAGAGAUAUCCUUCUAAGAAAGGGCAAGAGUUAACCUUUCGGAUUGAAAACGAUUGUGGCAGUGCCUCUUAGAGUGGUUGUCUCAAUGCAACACCUCUAGUAUGAAGUAUAAACCACUGAGAAAUUGAUGUUUAAUUGGUUGAAAUAGCUAAUUACUUUGUCUUCAUCCACUUGUAGUCAUUAAGAAACAAUUCAACACUUCAAUCACAGGUAUUCUUUUAUGAAUUUAGAUAAAAUCUUCAGAGUAAAGAUAAUUCUAUACCAUCAUUCAAAUUAGUAAAUGAAAUUAUGUUCUCAUUAACAUGAAACCCUUUAUUCCUUUUUACCCUCCUUGCCCCAUCCUACAUCCACCCAACCUUUUAUCUCAUUAAACAUGAAAAUUAAGUCUACUUAAAAUACAAGUUAGGCCAUAACCAUAAUAUGAACGUUGAAUGUGUGAAGCUUUGAUAAACAUCUAAAUGACUAGGACUUCUGAUUUCCCUCAUUGAUGCAAGGGAAACUACAUUGUACCUCUACUUUUUCCAUUGUUAACGUUCCUUGUUAGAUGAUUAAUAUUUAAAUUGUCACAAUCACAUGAAGGCUACAUCUUUCCUUCCACACAUAGUCCACACCAUACGUUUCAACCUUGAGCUUCAUCAAAGCCCAUAAUAUAAGAAGCAAACUCUCCAUUCUCAACCAUAUCACAACAUUCAACAUACAAUGGCUGCAAUUUUCUGGGCUUUGGCUAUAAUAAGCCUCUGCUGCAAGCUAGAUUGCAAUGCUCAAGCACCAGCAACUGUGCCGGUAAAGUUGCCACCUACAACUUUGCCACCUACAACCCCAACUGCAACAUCUCCAUCUUCCAGCACGCCACUGGCGGUAACACAACCACCCACAGUGGUGGCAUCCCCUCCCACCACGAGUACACCACCAACCACAUCCCAGCCACCUGCAAAUGUAGCUCCCAAACCUGCUCCUGUGAAACCAUCAGCUCCCAAAGUUGCACCUGCUUCAAGCCCAAAAGCCCCACCACCUCAAAUUCCAAUACCACAACCACCAAAACCUUCACCGGUCUCACCACCCCCGCUACCACCACCACCUGUUGCGUCACCACCACCAUUACCACCACCAAAGAUAGCACCAACACCAGCUAAAACACCUCCAUCCCCUGCACCAGCAAAGGCAACACCAGCACCUGCACCCGCACCCACAAAGCCGGCACCAACACCAUCACCUGUUCCUCCACCGCCAGCCGCAACUCCAGCACCAGCACCAGUGAUAGAGGUACCAGCGCCAGCGCCAGCGCCAGUGAUAGAGGUACCGGCUCCAGCGCCUGCACACCAUAGGCAUAGAAGGCACAGGCACAGACACAGACACAGAAGGCAUCAAGCACCAGCUCCAGCUCCAACAAUUAUUCGCAAAAGUCCCCCAGCACCACCUGAUUCCACAGCAGAAUCAGACACAGCACCAGCACCAUCACCAAGUCUGAAUUUGGUAAUAUCUUUGUUUGAUGAAAUAUCAAAUUACAAUUACAAUUAUAUACAAAUGUCACAUUGUUUGAUCCCAUCUUUUUUCUACUGUCAGAAUGCUGCGCCAUCAAACCACCAGCAAGGGAGAAAUAUAUGGGCAACAGCCGGACUUGCUAUAAUUGUUUUGCUGGCUGUCACUGGCUACAGCUGCUAGCAAGUGUCAUGGGUGACCAUGGAUUCACUAUAAUAAGUUAUUCGGUUUGCAAAAUAUAAAAUCUUUUCAAGUGCAUAGAUCUGAAUGAUGAGAAUCUAUACCUAUGAUUCUUUCCAUUUUUGUUGUUGUGAUCUUUGCUCAGAAAUAUUAAUGGAUCUGAAAUUUUGAAUGAUGGAAAUAAUCAGAAAUGUCACACAAAUUCUAGUUUUAUAUGUUAUUACAUCAAACUUGAUCAGUUUCUGAGUCUAUGUUUAUUUUCUCCCGAAAGUCAUAUUCUGUGAUAAGUCCCAGAUUGUCAACUAGUUUGUGAUGCUGUAGACAUCCUGCACACUAGUAAGAUGGCCAUCAUCAAUAAGGUUUCCAGAAACAAAAGCUUAUAUAGCAUCACAAUAUUAAAAGGUGACCACAAAAUUGGCCCCAACAUCAUGAACACAGAUUAACUUUUAACACAUUUGCAUUCACGAUCCAACGCAUCAGCCAUUCCAAAAGUUAUUGAACUUUCAGAAUAAGCUGACAUGCCACAAUGCAAUCAUUCAUGGAGCAGAUAUGGCAUGUUGGCAGCUAGUGAAAUGUUGAUGUAGCAACAAAGAUGGUCAUAAUUUAAAGCAUCAUUCAUGAAUAUAUUUGGAGACAACCCCUCAUAUCAUCCCUAAAAAAAGUCAAAAUACUUAAUUAUAUGCAAAUGUCAAGAAAAUGAAGCUUUAGCUUGAGCAAACAAAAACAGCUUACUAAGUUAUAAGCAACAAGCAAUUGUUAAUAACUUUUUAUAGAAAACUACAUAUAUGAAGCAAUGUAUGUCAUACUCUCAUUCUCUUUAUAGUAUGUGAAAGCAACGGUAAGAAGAGAAAAUGACAAUUAUUUAAUGGAAAAAGUUGCUACAUAUAGUAUAACAGUAUAACUGUAUAAGAAAACCAUUAACUUGCAGCAAAAGUAAAGAUGAGCAAUGGAUAUACUGCAUUAACUAUGCAUAACAAAAUUAUAUUUACUCUCUCUCUCUCUCUCUUCAUAUAAUGAGUUUAUAUAAGCAAAGCUAUGAACCCAGGCAACAAAGGUAAAAAUGAGCAAGAGCUAGAUUAUAUGAACUAUGUAUAACAUAACGCCAUGGUAAGGGUAAGUCAUCGUUCAAAUCUGAUAAGUGGCCUUUCAUUUAUUUUUUUUUCCAGAAAAAAAAAAGCAGCAGUAUUUCUAAUUAAGAAGAAUAGAAAUAUUGUUGAUAUUUGGAAAAAAGUUUCUACCUGUAAGAAAAAAUAAAGUAAUCAUACAUUUGCUCACCCUCUCUCUUUGGGCAUAUAUAUUGAGAGAAGAGGUUUAUUAUGACAGUGAUAAGAUUACAUUUGGACUGUUAGAUCAUACAUGUGUUCUAUAGCUUAGAACAAAAAAUAUAAUAUAUUGUUAUAUUUCUAAUCCUAACCAUACAUGCAAGAUUUUCAAGGACCAUUUAUCCAGUCUUCUCACCUCUCACACAUCCCAGUUGUGUCCUUUAUAUGCGAGUGUAUGAACUAUGUCCAAAACCACACCAUAUAUUUAACCCUUUGUCUUUUCCACAAAAUCAGUUUCAUUUCUGCCUCUAUUUACUUUCAGAUUGUAAUUAUUUUUUCUAUAAUUGAAACUCUGCACUGCACUCUGCAGGAAUGCAUAUAUCCUCAAUCUUUCAAUUUUUUUGUCAUAUUUGUUCUAAAAAGCAGAAACCACCAUCUUAGAUUUUGUUGGGACAAUGCCUGGGGCCAUACAUAUGACAUCAGAAUAAGGUUCCAGCAGGUCCUGCAUAAUAUGUGUUUUCCCCCUUCCUUCAUGAGGAGAUACCUGUCCCCUAUCCCACACUUACUAAUUUACAGAACUCUCAUAACUACAUAAAAAUAAGUUUUAAUAAAAUAUUGGACAAAUGCCAACCAGGAAAAGAGCAUUAAAAGAAAUAAAAGAGAAUGCCAACACCAUUUAGACAUUACUGUUAAAUAUACAAAUUCAUCAUACAUGUUCACUAUCAGUAGGACUCAAGAAAUAAUAGAUACCUGUACAAAAACAGCACCCCUUUCAUAAGCUAACCGAUUUACAAGCCUCUCUGUUCUUUCACCACACAAGUUACAUGUAAACUGUACAAGCAAACUUCUUCUUGGAAGAUUUAAGUCAAUACUAGUACCCUGGAAAUGCAAAGUAUAAAUAUAUAUCAAUAUCAAAGAACUAUAGACAAAACAAAUAUUUGAGAAGAAGAUCAUGCAUCAUGAUCUCUACCAAGUACCAACAAGAGAAAUAUACGAUUAAGACCGUAAUUCCAUUACAACUUAUCAAAAACAAGUUGCCUUCAGAAUAUCAUAAUGGAGGAAAUUAAAAGCUAUUCUUCUAAUUUUAGAUGUACAACUACAUAAUAAAGUGAUAAAAAGUCAAUAACAGAAUGGGUCACAAAUUGAGGCAAGAAAAAAAAAAGUUAAAACAAGAUAACAUUUUUGUAAUUUAUUAAUAAUAACAUAAAUUACAAGCAAAAUAAAACCUCAGUCAGAAAAAUCCAGAAACUAAAAACCAUACAAAUAACCCAUUUUUUCUUUUCUUUUUGAGUUUCAUUUAUAUGCACUCUCAGUGUAAAACAAUAUUACACAGACAUUCAAUAAGAACUCACUUUAUAUUAAUGUAGUAAAAUGAUUAAAUGUUAUUAGAUAUGUAUGUAACACAGUUUUAUACUUACAGUGCAUAUAAAUUAAAUUCAUUUUUCAUUUAUAAUAACAGUAAAAUAAGACUUAAAUAUAUUUUUAGUCCCUCAAAUUUAAAAGUUUGUUUGUUUUAGUCUCCCAAAUUAAAACUUACAUUUUUUUAGUCCCUCCAAUUCCCAAAAUGCUUUUAAAGUCCUUCAUGAUAGCCACAAAUUGUUCAUCUAAACCGUACAAAAUCAGUCACAAGGACUAAAAAAACCAUUUCACGAAAUUUGGCGACUAAAAACUGCAAAUUUUAGUUAGGAGACUAAAAAAGACAGCCCUAAACUUAAAGGACUAAAAACAUAUAAUAAUAAUAAUAAUAAUAAUAAUAAUAAUAAUAAUAAUAAUAAUAAUAAUAAUAAUAAUAAAUCACUAACCGCUUCAGAAUUGGGUGUUUCUGGUUGUGGGGCAGUCCCAGAAUCGUGACCCAGCAAGCCGCGUACUCUAAACACCCGACGGGGAAGCUUUUGGGGUGCCACUGCUGCACCAGAAAACUUUGACCUGAAAGAAAAAAUCCAAAAUGAAUGAAAUUUAAAACUGUGUAAUGAAAAGAGAGAAAGGGGUGUGUGGAUAGAAACCUAACCUGGAGAGGCUAAUGGAAGGAGGAGGGUUGAAGCAGCAGAGGGGGUGCAUAGGUUUAGGGUGCCAGAGAGGAGGAAGGAAUAUAGGGGAACUAUACAGUGCGCUUGCCGCCAUUGGUGCUAGCAUCUAUCCGGCUCUUCACGGUAUGGAUUAUACUUAUAUGAAUUAACUCAAAUCAAUUCAAAUACUUGGAUUGAAUAAUUUUUAUGUUUGAAUCUAAUUGAAACGGAAAUAAUAAAAUUUGUUGAAUUUUGAAUUGGAUUAAGAAUCUUAAUAUUUAGAUCUGUUGAUUCACUAAUCCAACCUCAUUUAUCUAUUAAUUAUUAUUAUUAGGAUAAAUAAUUAUUUUUGUCUCUAAAAAAUAAAAUAAAAUAAAAUUUAAUUAUCGAAAAUGUAAAUAGUAGGACAAAUUCAUUUGAUCGGUAAUUUUUGUUUAUUAAUCUUAGGGAACUCAAUACCAAGUAGAGAGAAAAAUGUCACGAUAUUAAUGUUUAUAUGGACAUAAAAAUGAAAGUUAUUAAUAAAUACAUCCUCAAUUUAACAAUUAAUUAAUAUUUUCAUCCUUCAAUUAUAUAUCUUAUUGACAAAUAUAUUCACAAAAUAUAUAAGUCCAAUCAGUUGAAAUCAGUAACAAGAGAACUUUCUGAUGCUUGUUAUUGUAAAUAUUUAUUAUAACAUAUUAUAAUUAGGAUUACAUUUAUGAUGUAAACUUAUCACAUAGAAAAUCAAGACUCAAGAGAAGACAAGGUAGAGAUAUGUUUUCAAAUAAAAAAUUGGUUUAUCAAAUCUUAAAUGGAUCAUUUAUAAGUAGAAGAAAACAAACAUGAAAGAUCUAACAACCGUAAUUACAAUGUCUUUAUAGUUCCUCCUCUUGGUUAGUGAUCACUUAUGUAUUUAUAAUAAACGUCAAAGAAAAAAGUGAGACUAAUCUAUCAUUGAAAGUAUAAUUUGUCACUUUUUUUUAGGUCUAUUAUAAUUAUAUACGUGGUCACAAACUGAGCAGGAAAACUAUAAAACAUCAUAGUUAUAGUUGCUAGACCUCUCAUAUUUGUUUUAUUAUACCUGAGGAUAAUCCAUUUAAGAUUUGACAAUCUGAUUUUUUAUUUGAAAGUCUGCCCUUGUCUUACCUCCACUUAAAUCUUAAUUCAUCUAUGAUAAAUUGACAUUGUAAAUAUAAUUAUAAUCAUAAUACAUUAUAAUAAAUAUUUGCAAUAACAAAAUUAGAAACUUUUAAGUCUAAUGUAAUGUUGGUGCAUGUAUUUUGUUACUGAUGUCAACCAAUUAGGUUUAUAUAUUUAGUUGAUAUAUUUGUCAGUGACUUAUCUCAUAUGUCCAUGUGAGCAUCAAUUUUGUGAUAUUUUCAUCAUUGCGUGUCACGUAGGCGAGUUUCCUAAUAUAUUUAUUUAAAAAAAUUUAUAAAAAAAACAAUUACUAAUUUAACUAAGAGAGAGUCCUCUCUUAUUUUCUCACUCAUUUAACUAUUUGAGAACAUUGGAAUUUUUAAACUAUAAUACAAUAGUUAUAGUUUUUGAAUUUGUAGGUUUCGUUGUGUGAUUUAGGGUUUAGGGUUUCAUGGUGUAGUUCUUGUUUAUUAUAUUUUAAUUUUUAAAUCAUGUUCAAUAUAGUAUGUUGUUUAUGUGAUGACCAUGAUAAUUUUCCUUACUUAAACUUUUCUUCCACCAUUUGGUUACACGCAACAAUUAUAAAUAAUGCAUUUGGAUAAUUAAAAAUAUGAGAUUUUAAAAAACAAUUGAAAAAUUUAAUGCUUUGACCUGCUGACUCAAUCCAACCCUAAUCGUUUACUAAUAGGUUGGUUUGGGAUGAGUUAUAUUUUUUUUUCUUGGAAAAUUAACUAAAAUCAACCGGUUCAAAUUUAAUUGAAUUUGAUCACAAAUUUAACUAAACUCAACAAAAAUCGAUCCAAAAACACUCCUAAGAAUCAAUGUGUAUAAUGUUUUUGGUAAUUUUAUGGUCUAACUAAGAUUUAAGUCUAACAAUUCCUGCAUAACAAAAAAUAAGAUUUAGCAAUUAAGAUUACUUUUAUUUUUUACCCUUAUGUUAUAAAUUAAAAUAUACAAAUUAAUUAAUUGAUUUAGCAAUCUCUGUAUAAAAAACAAAUACUUUCUCAUUGAAAUUAAAUUUAUGUAUCAAUCAGUUUAAAAUAAUUCACACACAUUAUUCAAUUAAUUAAUUUGGAGGUGAUUGAUAAUAUAUAAGUUAAAUUGUUGAUGGAGAUAUAAUAUUAGUUAGAUGAUUAAAAAAAAUUAUAAAAUAUCACGAAUUGAAUCCUCCUUGUUAAUAAAACUAACAAUACAAAUAUCUAAAUCUUUUUAGACUAACUCUCCCACUUAUAUAUAAUGCACUAAAUUUACACUAUGACUUUCAAAGCCCGAGGUAUUGAUUGGAUCCAAAAGUGUGAGAGGAAGGUGAUUGCGAAGUGUGUGUUACGAGCAUGCAUACGCUUCAACAAAUUAUACAUGAGAUUCAAGUCAUCCAAAAUCUAAUUUACAAAGUAUUUACAUAUGUUUACAACAAAAUGUUUAAGAAAAGGGUAAAAUAAAUAGUAGAUUACUUAAUUUGUUCAAAUAAGCGAACAAGCUUGAUGUCAAUAAAGGCACUACCAAUUUUAUUUAAUUGGGAUGAAUCAGAACUACAUUUAAGGGUCUAUUUAUUCACAGGAAAAGAUGGAAAAUAAUGAAUACAUGUACUAAGUUAAUUCAGCAAUCGCUCGGGGUGUGUGGAAGAGGCUGAGUCAAAAAAAUUAUACACUUAAAGAAAAAAUCGAAUAUAAAUUUUUUUAAAAUAAAUUAUUUUUCACAUGUGAAUAUAGUGAAUCUUUAGGCAACUGUAUCAACUCUUUGAGUUAUGCUGUCUAAGUGAUUAUCAAAUAUUUUAUUUUAUCCUUUUUGUUAAAAACAAUAAAAAGAAAAAAAAACAAUUAUGAAUUUCCAAUUUUUUAGCAUUAAAUUUGUGUAUCUAUAACAAUAGAUAGAUAGAUUUUUGACAGGACAAUAGAUACUAGAUAGAUACAUUAAAUGUGGAAUAUCCGAAUAUAUAUAGAUUGAUUCUCUUUCAAUUUCGAUUGGAUUCAUUUAAAUUCAAAAUCCACUUAUUAAAAACUAAAAAACUAAAAAGUACAGAAUGGAGCAACCCUUCACCGCGUGAUAACUUUGGUGGGUUCAUGAUAACUGUGGAUGACUUGACUGAAGUCAAAAUGACAACACUGAAAUAUUAUAUUAUGUAACAAAAUGAUAUAUAUGCUACAUUGGAUAAUUAUUUUUUGCCUAAAAAGCAAACAUCGGAUAAUUAUUAUAAUUUUCUAGUCUACCUGAGAAUUAUAUUCAGACCAAUUGUACGAGGUAAAGAGCAAUGCAUCUUGGGUCGUAAACAGUUGUGGACUUAUUUGUGGUAGUGUCUUCAAGAUUGGUUGUCUCGGUGCAAUGCCUCUUGUAUGAACCACUUUAAGAAAUUGAUGCUUGAUUGGUUGAAAUAGCUAAUUGUACGUUCUGUAUUCAUUUAUAAACAAUUCAACACUUCAAUCAUAUGUAUUCUUUAGAGCUUAAGUGGAACACAUUUAUACUUGAAAAUGAUUGAUUUUCAUCACAAUUAUUUCAAAACUUUAUCUAAACUGAUCUUUAAUUAGUUAAUUAAGAAUAUUUAUACUAAUAAUGCACCAAAAUUAAUUAACCUCAUUUUGUAUUGAAUGAAUAUUUACAAAGCUUUCUUCUUUUUUUUUUCUUAGAAAAGUAUAUUGUCUUAGCAUUGCUUUUUAUGUUGAAUAUAGUAUUUUAAUUAGACCUUAACAUGAACUUAGCAAGGGAAUACUGCUAACAUAAUCAGUUAAUCGGCAAAGUCAUUUUAAGGAAUAAUUCGCUCAUAUUCCCAAAGCAUGUUAGACCUCAACAAUUUUAUUGGAGAAAAACAUGCGUUUUCGCUUUUCCCUCUCUUUAAUUGUUGCAAUUUUACAUAAUGUGGGAUAAAAUAAGGGAUCUGAAAGUGCAUGAAAACAACAGUUGAACCGCACCUUUUUCAUUAAUUUUCUAUUUCAUGUUAAUGAAAAAUUGUGUAUAGAAUUGAGGAUGAUAUCUGGCAAAUCAUCAACCCAAUGAAAUAAUCAAGUUGAUCAAUAAUACAUCAACUUGACUAAAAGACAACAAAAUCUUCUCCUUGAAAUACUUGUCUGGAAGCAUCCCCUACCCUCGAAUAAAUCACCCAAAUGACCUUAUUAUUAGUCUUCUUCAUCCACUUCAUGAAAAGGAAGUGGUACUAUCUUCACUGCUCUAAACUUGCCAGCAUUAUUUAGAUGCUCAUUCUCCAAUCUGCACCAUAAUAAAAUACUAUUUGUUAUAUAUUUGUAUGUAAAGUUUACAUCAUCGAUUAAAACAAAAAUUACGCUUGAAUGAUGUGUGGUGAGGGAAAAUAAAUAGUUAAUGUUGUAUACAUUAUUAUCAAAUCACAAAUCAUGAUAUCUGAAAAGUUUAUUAAAUCUAGUAAAAGUCAUAACAACAAUAUAAUUUUUAAUUAGUUGAUAGCAUAAAUUUUUUAAUUCUGACCGUGCAUAGAAAUUAAACUAAAAGUAAGAUUAUGCUAACUCAUUUACCUGAAGAAAUUCCAUAGCCCUCGUCUAAUAACUUCAAGAGAUGCUAAAAAUAAGGAUGUUACUCGAUAAUCAACGUUUUCAAAACUUGAAUGAAGGACAGUUUGCAACCAAGCAAGCCUCAGAACAAGGUUUAAUCCCUGCAUAAAUUGCCAAAUCUUUUCAUGGUCAAGGUCUAAAAGUGGAGGACGACCCCAUAUUUGUAAAUCUCAUGAAAAGAAAUAAAAAAAAAUUGCUUCUACAAAGUGUGCUUUUAAUUAGUAUAAUUAUUAGGCGAAAUAUAAUCUUCUGUUGUUAUAUUUUGUCCUUUUUUGAUCUAGAUUUGGAAUCUCACUUUAAUUUUGUGUAAUGGCCUUAUCAGCAUUUCUUUUGAGAAUAUGUUUAUUCUCCACUUUGUGGCAUUUUAUUAUCCUGAAACACCUAAUAGUAAGGUUACUGUCCUCUUUGCUUUGACUAUGAUAAAUAUUAGCUAGUUUGUCUAAUUUUGAUAAGUGAAGCUACUAGCUUUUGGGGUGCCAAUUGCAUGCCAAUGGCCCACACCAUAGGCUCCUUAGUGAAGAAAGAGAGAGGGGCCUGAUAUGUACCAUUGACAAGUAGUAAAUGGCUUUUCUCUGAAGCAUUAAUUCAUUCCUUAGCCAUGGAUUCUUUGAAUUCAUUUGGAGCAAACCCCAGUCUUUUACAAAGUCCCAGUACAAUUGGUACAUAGUUGCUGCACUUGACAUGACCACAAGAACACAAAGCCAUCCUACACUCCCAUCUUUCUCAUAAGCCACUUUUGCUCCUGCUGCUAACAUUGCUGAUACAUAUUUGCCUAGAUUCACAAGGUGGCUUGUUUGCCCUUCAUCAAACCAUCUCCUAGCACACUGCAAAAUGAAUUAGGAGACAUUAGUCCUAUCCAUUUCUUAAUUAUUGGAUUGGAUAAUAUGCUUCAAGGGAAGGAAAAGAGAAAUAUUUUGUAGCAAACUAGCAUCGGAACCUGUGCAUUGCAUGGUUUUUAAGAAAAACAAAAAACAAGAAAGAAUAAUAAAUGUAAAAUAAAUAAAAAAACUUAAAUUGUCCAGCCAACACGAUGACAGCUGAACAGUUUCAAUAAUACUAUUGAUUACGCUGACAUCCCAUGAGGUUUCUUGAGAUUACACAUAAUCACCCUGCUUUUUUAACCAAUAAGCAACCCCCUUAAGGAUUACACUGUAUAAUGUGUUUCUUGGGUAAUAGGGAGUGUCGGUGUAAUGUAUUUUAAAUAAUUGAGUAGUAUAGGGAUAAAAGAGUAAGGAAUAUUAGGAGAAAUUUGACUAAAUCUCAAGAAGUAUAAGUUUAAUUUACUCAAUAUUUUACCUGCAUAGCCCUCCAAUAAUAGGGUAGAAAUGACACUGCAUAAGCUAGAUCUCUAUAGUGCUUUGUCCUCAUGCAAUAUCCAUAGUCCUGAGUUUUGUAGCUACCAGUUAUAUAGUAACAUGCCACGUACUCAAGGUUCCUGAGCAUUGGCACCUACAAAAUAAUGAUACAAUUAUUAAAUAAAAUACUAAUACAAUUAUUAAAUAAAAUACUAAUCUGUUCCCUUAGAAUAAGUUAUUAUUUGUUAGUAAAAAAGAGAUUUAGUACCUGACUACAAAGUUGAUCAGCCAUGAAAAAAUCCAGCAUGACAACCUAAAAAGACGAGAGAAACCAUUGAGGAUAUGUCCACUACAAUAAUUAUUUUUGCUCAAUAUUUUUUUUCAUUAAAUUUCUUUUCAACUUUUUGAACAGUUAGUGGUAGUGUGUUUUGUGCCUGAUGACAUGAUGCUACAAUGAUGAUAGUGGGAAACACUACCUUGUAAAGGGGUGACAAAAUUAUGUUCCUUAUCACACAAAGGAAACGGUAACGGCUUGACCGGUAUAUAAUGUUGAAGGGGCAUACUAGUAUUAGUAAGAAGCCCUGCACGUGUAGUAACAAUGUUAAAUUUUCAGUUGAGCUAUGAUCUAAGUAUUAGACAUUAGUCUAGUUUCAAAAAAAUUGCAAAAGUGAAUGUAAUAUGUAAUAAAACUAUUUACCAGAAGAAGAAGCCCGGGAAUGUCUUGAACCCUGGCAUAUGAAUACCCUUUUGUCAGUAGAGUCAAAUGAAGAAACAUUACACCAACCACAGCACUCAUUGCCAUUGUGCAAAUUAAGAAUAUGUCUCUAUACUUGAGUUCCUUGGUAGGGGUUUGCUCAAAAAUGAAGCUGUAGUUUAUGCGAGUUUUUCUCCAUGCAAGAGUGUUGCAACCAUAAAGAAAGAAAUGUAGGAACACAAGGCUGAACAUGCUGCAAAACAUAACAUAAGUUAUUGAUGUGAAAAUACCAUGCACAUUUGAAUGAAAUUUUUAGCUAUGAAAAUCAGGUUUAUUUACCUAAGCACAGGGUAGACAGUUUCCAUGUACACUGAAUUUUGAUGUGGUCUAUACAAACCAGUCACAUGAGCCAUUAUAGCAUAUCCCGCAAGAAGUGCCAAGAAGGUUCCAGUAAAUAGUCCUGAUUUUAUUUGAAAGAUAAUCAGUUAUGUUAGAACUUAGAAGUAACUUUCUAUAUAAUCAACACUAUUUAUGCAAGAAUGUUUGGCAAUUUUGUAUGGAUUCACCGGUUAAAUUCACCAAGAAUGAAUUAUUAUGAACAAGGAAUUUCAAAUUUGACCAUUUUUUCCAUGGUUUUAGCUUUGCCAGCAGGAUCAAUAGGUUUAGCCUUUUAGUUUUGCACAAACAAGGAAAUGAAACUGAUGUUAUCAUGAUUAUGUACAAUAAUUGCACUAAAAGAGGUAUCAUAUUGUUAGUGAAACCCACAUAGGCACCAUAAUGUGAUGGUUCCCUAAUAUGUUGAGAUGGCCUUUGUAAGGUUCAUUCUUCAUAAGGUAAUGUAUGGUUUAAAUAUGAUAGAGUAGCAUGGGACCUGUACUUCCCUUCCACCAAAGAGUGGACCAGUUCCUGCCAUUCCUUUUAGCCUAGUGCCUUAAAAGGUUCCAUAUUGUGGUUUCUUUAGAUACUAAUGGUCACAAAGCAAACAAGCCUAAAGAUCUCAACCAAAAUGAUUGACAAGCAAAUGCAAAAGACAUUGUAAAAGGUGAAAAAUAAAAAAGACCAAAUUCUUGGCUAAAACUAACUCACCAAUGAAGAAAGUUACAGCAUGAGAUUCUUUGCGUUGGCUCGGUCUAAGGUAUUUCAUGGCCUUUCUUCGGUUGUCUUCAGCAAAAUUUUUGAUGAACAGUUCCUCAACUUCGUCGGCUAACUUCAUCACCUGUCAUUUCUCAGACUAAUGAGCAAACAAAGCAAAGCUAGUUCACAAAUUAAGUUAAAGAAACUCUUGUGCAAGUGACAGACAAGCAUAUCUAAUUUUUAUUUUGCAUGACUCAAGGUCAUCUAGUGGUGCACACAUGAAUCAUAGGAUUGUUGGCCACUUGAGAUUGUCGGUGAUCACACACAUAUUACAUCAAAGUUUGACAUGAUGGAACUUAGAUAUUUUUGUAUCACACAGUUUUCAUUUGUGCCUGAGAUUUACCUUGUCUGAGCUAUUGAAAUAGGAACUCUCAACCACUUUGAUAUAGAUGGGAAGAAUUUGUUUUUCAGUGACCUGAAAACCACAUAGAAAUGUUUUUUUUUUGUUUUGUUAAUACACAUAUAAUUGAAAACUAACUUCAACAUCAACUUUGAAGCCUCUAAUUCACUUACCUUAUCAAAUUUCUUCAGAAUCUUUAUAAAUGCAAGCAAGUUCAAGUUCCUGAAAGAAAACAUAAGAUUUUGGCACAUUAAAUCCUAUAUAUUUGUUAAGUUUAUUAAACAAACAAGUUUACAAGUGACCAUAGAAAUUUGUGACUAUAUUUUUACCUGUAAACUUUGAGAUACCCUAGUCCUUUGUAGAGUUCAAUGAAACCUCCUUUGAUCAUCUUUUCAGCAUGGUGCAAAUUAGUUUUGUUUAGGUGAAUGUUGUUGGCACCUUCUGGACCACAUUUCCUUGAAGACUGAUUGAGAAAAUCUUCCCUGAGAAGGUAGCUUAUGGCUGAGAAGGUUCGCGACGGCGUCGUCAAAGGAAUGUUUAUCCUCAGAUUCUUCCCUUGGCAAUUGAUUACACGGCCAGAAAGUGUUCUCAGUUUUCCAUCUUCUCUUUUAAUCUGCAUAGACUUGGCAAGUUCUUCUACACGAGGGAAAUCUGAAAAUGGAGCUUCAUUUUUCUCAAAAUCAUCUGUGCUAGUAGUGUCUAGCAUUUCUUCUUGUUGUGCUCUGCUCCUAACAGAGUCUUCCUCUGUUUGCAGUGAACAGAGUUUGAGAUACACAUAAUUACUCAUCAUUUCCUCAUAUUAUGUUUCAUAUAAAAAUGAUAAAAAAAAAGUGUUUAACUAGUUUCUUUCAUGAUAAAAAAUUGUUUGUGUUUUGUGCUCAUUUAGUUUGGUUGAAUAUUAUAUAGUACAAGUUUUUUUUCUCUCUUCCAUAUUUGACUAUAAUAAGCAAAACAAGAAAAAUGCUAUUUGCUUUGAAAGGAUUUUUGUCAAACUCACAUGAACUUUUUUUUUUGUCUAAUCUCAUUUUUCUUCUUCUAAUUUUUAAUUAAUAUUUAUUUAAAAAAGAGACUAUCAUUCCACAUUAUUUUUGUGCAAUUCGUACACAUGUUCUACUAAAUAGCAUCACCGGAAAAGAUAUAUGUUGUUUAACCAUGCAGUGCUACUAUUUAGUAUGAAUAACGUAUACACAAAAGUAACAUAGAAUGAUAACCCUUUCUCUAAACAAUAUUGAUUAAAAAAAAAUUAGAUAAAUAUACAAUAAUAGAAAACUCUGGUUUGUUUGAUUUAAACGAAAACCGUUUUGUAACAUUUAACAUUUUUCUUAAACAUUUGAUAGAAGUUAGGUGAUUUAGUUAUGAUAAAGAUUCCAUAUUGAAAUGCAUAUAGGUUGACAUAUGUGCUCACAUGAUACAGAAUGCCAAUUGUAAGAAAAUAAUUGGAAUGCAAUAAAAUUGUGAAUAAAUAUUCAAAUGAAGGACAUUGAAUCAUGAAAUAUCUAAAUUUAAAAGACAAGGUUGGUUAUGUACCAUUAGAGAAUGUGCAUGAGAUAGAUUGAUCUUCCUUGGAGCCAUGGGAAGAGCCUGCUUUGCUCUGCUGCUCCUUGAAUGUGGUUUUGAGCAUUAGGAGAAUGUCCAUUUGUUUUUUCAAGGAAUCUCCUCUAUCCAUGAACUCUUUCUCCUUUGUUCUAUAGAACUUGUUGACCUUGUUUAGUUGCUGGUCCAGACAUGCAAAGAAUUCUUUAGUAGCAUCAGUGUCAGAAAAUUGCUCUAACAGUUCAGUCUCGUACAUGUCCCCAUUAAAAGAUGAUGAAGCAAGUUUCCUAUGGACCUGAAAAAGACCAAAACAAAUUUCAUGAAUCAACCAAAAUAUUUACACAUCAAUAUUAUUGAACAAAGUUUGUUCCAUAUGUCUUAAGAGAAAAAGAUUGAAUAAUUACUUGAAUUGGUCCAGGCUCUCUAUGUUGGUGGCCAAAUAGAGAGUAGUUUCUUAUUGAUGAAAAGAUGUACUUAGGUAAAGAAGUAUUGUUGGGUGUAUUGUUGGUGUUAUUAAUAAAAUAAUGGACAUUUUUGAGGUCCUUCUUGAGUUGCCAGUAAUCCACAAAGGCCUCUUUCCAUUCUGGAAUGAGUUGCCCCUCAAAUUGCUUUGAGAACUUCACCAUCUUCUUUGUUUGUUGUUCUUUGAAGAAACCUUAGAAGAAAGAAGCAGUAGUAGAGGCUCUAGUAGGUGAUGCCUUGUGAAUGCGUAAUGGAAGUCCAAAAUGACAUUAUAUAUGGGGCUGGAAAAGGUAUUUUUUUUUUAUUGAUGUUGUGGUACUGAUGCUCUUGAGCACAUUCUAUAAUAUACUUAGAUCCUAUGCUUCUCCACUACUGAGGAUUUGGCAUGUAAGAAAUGGCUAUGCUCGCCGGAAAGUAAACCAAACCACCACCGGUUAGGAUCACUUCUCAGCCAACAUGUCUUCAUGAGGAUUUUGAAAAGGGUGGGAAUUUAAAGUGGUUGGUUCUGUCUGAGUAGGGACAUAUUGGACUAUUCAGAAUACACAUAAGAGGAUGAUGACCAUGCUUUUUCAUUUCAUAAAGUUUGCCACAAUAAUUCGCUAGCGAAAAUCAUUUUUAGCACAACGGUUGUUAUUGUUAAUUGUUAAUUUGUUAUUAACAAACAAACAAGCAAUCAAGGGCAUUUCUGAUUUUUUUAUAUAUAGAUUUGUAUUUAAUGUGAUGGUGUCCUAUAAGUUAAGUCAAGAAAUUGUUCAAUAGUUAAAAAGCGAAACAUAUUGGCUAAAUUAUUUGCUAGCACACAAAGGUGCACUCUAAUUAGCCCAGCCUGAUUUCCACUAAUUCAGGAUAACUAAAAGCUUUUUCACAACCUCUCCACUUUCAUUAAGCAACCCCUUUUGUUUUGUUUCAUUGUAAAGUUGAGUCCAUUGCUCACGUCUAAACCUAGAAGUUACACUCAUGACUUUAAGAGCAUCACAAUUUCAAUUUCGUCAAUUUUUGGCAAUUCAGUUCUAGGGACCUUUAUUGAUGAGUGGCAAUGACAGGUCAAUUUUGUACCACAACAAACCAUAAGAGAACAUAACCACCUCUUGCUUCCCUAUUUCCGUGCCAAGAAGAAGAAUAUGUAUAAAAAUAUAUGGAAAAAAAAAGUAGUAUAGUGAAAUUUUGUAUAUCCAACACGUAUUUGUACACUCUAGUGGCAAAUCUUCAUUCUUUAAAUUAUUAGAGGCAUAGAUUAGGCAACUUCCAUCAGUUACAUGUUGGAAUCUGUGUACAUGGGAAAUAGUAGAUAAGUUUCACUUUAAUACGCGGUUUUGGUAUGGAAUAAUUCCUCCCUACUGCAUUUCCAAUGUACUUAGGAUAAGCAGCAUAUAAUAGUGUGAUGACAUCUAAUAAGGCUGGUAAUAUAUUUGGCAUACUAGUACCUUGCUAAUAGCAAUAGUGGCUGGCUGAGUGAAGGAGCUUCGGUGUUCUAUUCCUUGGUUCUAAGCCCACUAGCUAGCCAACUUUUUGUAAACAUGAUGUGACCUUCCAUGAAAAGCUACAAAAAUUGUAACCAUUAGUGAUUUCAGUCAAUGUUUAGAUUAAAGCUGAGAGAUAUCAAACGUAUUUUUACUCCAUAAGUAACAUUUUUUUCCUUCUUUAUUCAAUGUAUAUUGAUUUUGUAAUUUUAAAUUAGAGUUCGUAAGAAUUACUUUCCAAACUUUUAAUCCAAGUAUAACUCAUAAUUUUGAAUAAUUUUUAUUAACUUUUUUUAUAUAAAUUAAAAACAUCAAUUACGUGUUAGGUAAAGAUUAAUUAGGACCAUAAAAAUAUAAUAGUCUUGGACUAUGUAAUAAUUUCGGGAUCAAACAAACAAACAAAGGUGCCAUCUUUUCAGUUUUCUUCCAGGACAUGGAUUGCAAAAUCACCAUUAUAAUUGUGGAGAACUGACAGCGCCCCUAAGAUGGGUGUCUCAAAGAUACGCUAUUUUGAGGUUUCCUUUUUUUUUUUUUAUAUAUAUAUAUAUAUUUGGGGCCCCUCUUAUGCAUGAAAAGAUAUUUGCACAGAGAAAUAAAAAUCGUUUCUAAACUUAUUAUUAGCCCAUGAAAAGCAUAUUAUCAAUAUCAUUUAACACUUGGCAAAAAUAAUCUAAAGGACAAGUAGGUUUCUAAGGAUGGAUUUGAUUGGUAAAUUCACCCCCUCCCGUAUUAGCUUAUUUGGAUUAAGGAUGAAUUUGAUUGGUAAACAAUCUGUGUAACAUGCACAGUUAAGGCAAAAUCAGACAACUCAAAAGCAUUAAGUACCAGCUACAAUAAAUAUUCUUUCUCAUCUUUGACAUGUGAACAGAACUUCGUACCAUCUCACUUAAAUUUUGUAUAAACUAAAAUAUCGGGAAUUAUGUGCAUAUGGUAUUCAAUCAUGGGCUUCAAUUUAUAUAAACAUUAGUGGAAAAAAUUGAAGAGAAAGUGAUAGUUUCUAAUGAUAGAGGAGCUAGUCUAACAAAGUACCCAAUUUGCGUGCUAGAACAAAAAUAGUAACCCAAAUUAAAACUCUAUCUCUUGCUUAUACAUAAGCCAAUAGUAAUUAGUUAAUUAAUAUUGAUCUUGAUAUAAGAUCAAUUUGCAUGGAUAAGUAAAUUAAUUAAGAAGGAAAAGUUAAACAGAUAUACUUCACCUAUUAUAGGAAAAUGAUUUAAUAAUUAACAUUUGUAAGAGAGACAUGUAUUUCCACGUAGGAAAAGAUAAAGUUAUCUACGAAAUCUUAGGGGGUUCAGGCGUGUGGCGUCAAUGACAGGGCAUGAAAAUGAUGGUCUGAUUAGGAUAGCAUAUAACAUUUGGUGCGCCCCGGCAAGAGCCUCUACCCAACCCACCAGUGUGUUCAUUCAAUUUUCCUUGUGCAUCAUUAUUUACAUUAUCAUGUUACCAUAUGCAACGUUUUUUUUUACACACAAUUGCAUGCAUUUGACCCUACAUAGGCCUUUUGAUCUUGACCAGUGUUUGAACAACGUGGGCCAGUCACAAAAGCAUGUCUACCAAACAGUGAUAAUAGUUUCUUUUCUUAUGUUCAUUGCACAAUAUUAGAGACAACAGUUGAGCAGCAUAAAAUGAGUAUGUUUUAAUGAAAUAUCUCUAGAGUGUGGCAUUGUAAACUUGGAUGAAUUAAUUUCUUCCUUUUUUUAUGGGGAAGUCAUCGAGAAUUCAAGUUAUGUUUUUCUGAAUGGGAAUAAGAAUUGGUCAGAUUUUGACUUGCUGAAACUUGUUUAAUCAAACAUUGAGUAUACUUUUUCAUCAUGUUAUCGGUGUAACGAUUUUAUCAUUUUUAUAAAUGAUUAAUCUUUAUUUGAAAUCUUAAUUAUCAUUAAUAGGAUCUUUCUUUUCUUACCAAGAAUCAAGUAUGAGAAAAAAAAAAUGUUUCCAUGCAUAUUUUUCUUGCACUAAUUUAUCUCUUUACCAUCCGCCAGAAUUUAUUAUCUUUUAACAUGUACAUAUAUAAUUGAAUUAAAAACUUUAUUUCACUAAUUAAUGGAUGAUUUAAGUGGUACACGUUUAUUUUUCUUUAAAUAAAGUUUCAAAUUCAAAUUAUAUAUAUAUAUAUAUAUAUAUAUAUAUAUAUAUAUAUAUAUAUAUAUAUAUAUAUAUAUAUAUAUAAUCUCAUGAGAAGAGUUGAUUAUUGGUACGAUAUUGUAGAUGUAAAAAAAACAGCAUAUUGAUAUUUUUGUCUCAAUUAAAAUUGUCUUUAUCGACCAUAACUGUAGUCUAAUCACCGUUAGACUUUAUCUCUCCAUGAGAAGAGUUAAUUAAACCAUGUUUAGAUAUGUUUGCCUCAAUGUACAAAAAAAAGAAGAUAUUUUUGUCUCAAUUCAAAUUUUCUCUAUCAAUCUUAACAAUAGUCUGAUUAAAAUUAAACUUAUAUCUCCCAAGAAACUUUCCCUAUUGGAUGCAUAGAUAAAUAUGAGGACUGUUAUCCACUUUAAUUAGUUGUUGUGCCUUAGCAUUUAAUAUAUUUUUUUUUGUGAAAAAAUCUAUUAGUUCUUUUGUUUCUCAAAAUUAAAUUUAAAGAUAUUAUCAUAUUUUAUCAUUUAAUUUUUAAUUUUUUUCUCUCUUAUCUUCUUUCGACAUUUUUUUUCUCAUCUCUUCGUUACAACUUCUCUUAUAUGAUAUUAUUCUUUUUUUUCUUUAAAAUUAUCGUUAACACAUCACUAUUAUCACCAUGAUCAUUGUCAUAUUCACUGUCAUAACCGUCAUCAUUGUCAUGACCACCAUCAUUGGUGGAGGCUAUGACAACAAUGACAAUAAUAACGAUAACAAUGACAAUAAUAACGAUGACAAUGACGAUAGUAGAGACCAACCAGUAUAAAUCUCUUUGUACAUUUGUCUUUUGCCCUCGUUUGUUUUUUCUUUCAUGACCGUGGGUUUUUUUAUCUCUUGUGAAAACGUGUUUUAAAUUUGUUAAGUAUGGUUUGUCUUAUCACAUUUGUUAAAACCUUGUUUUCUUAUCUUUAGAGGCAGACGAUAAUCUUUCUCUCUCAAAAAAGUUCCCAAAAAAUUUUAUAUCUCAAUUCAAUUCCCUCUUGUAAUUUUUAUCUUUACAACAGCUAUAUACUUGAUAUUAUGAUUGGUAUAUUAUUCCUUAAGUUUUGGAUAUUAUAUCUACCUUUUUCUAUUAUGUGUCUACAACCUUUGUAUAGUGUAAAUAUGACACCGAGAGUUAUACUAAUCCUAUUAAGAUGAUUAUUAUCUUUUUAGAAAUCUAAGACGGUUUUUGCUACCUCUUUAUUUUGAACUCGAAAGCUAGUUCAAUAUUUUGCUAUGUCCCGAAGGGUCAUAAUUUUAUUAUUAUAACUCUUUUGCACUUAAUAUAUUAAUAUGAAUUUAGGGUGGUUAAGUCACCACCAAUAAAGUUAAGGUUAAACACUUUUUAGCUAAAGUGCUACAACACUUCUAUUUCCAAUUAAUAUUUCCAAAAAUCAAAGCAUUUCACAACAAUUGAAUCCUAGGGUAAAUAGUCAUUUUUGUCCCUAAAUGUGUAAUUCACUGACAAAUUUGUCCCUGAAAGAUUAAAAUUCAAAAUUUAGUCUCUGAAAGUGUAAAAAGUGUGACAAAUUUAUCCAGUCGUUAACUUUCAUUUGUUAUUGUUAAUAAAAUAGCCUGUGUGACAUAGAAGGAUGAAUUUGUCACAAAAUUAAUUGCCAAUGUGGUCAUACUGAAUAGAUUGGAUGAAAAUGUCAGUAAGUUACCAUUAUUGGAUGUUAAUAAUUUUUUGUUGGACAAAAAUACCAGUGAUUUUUUUUGAAGGAAAAUGUUAAUAAUUUUUUUUGAACCAAAAUGUCAGUACAUUUCCGUUGGACCAAAACUUCAGUAAUUUUUCAUUGUAUCAAAAUGUCAGUAAUUUUUUAUUGGACGUAAAUGUCAGUAAUUUUUUGAUAAACCUAAACAUUAGUAUGUUUCUAUUGGAAUAAUUUGUUAGAUACCAAAUUUCAUUUCAUUUAAGGGUAAAAUAUAAUUUUAAGGUAAAUUUUUGCUCUUUUUUUAUUGUUACAAGCAAACAUCACAAUAAUCACUUAAAAAAAUAUUUUGGCAAAUAUAAUUUAAAACAAACAUAAUAAUAACCAUAAUAUUGAUUAAAAGUCAUAAUUUAUCUGUCACAACAGAAAUUAUCUAAAAUAAAUAUUAUACCAAUUUAUCAAAAUAGACAUUGUAAUUGUGUAAUUUUUCUAAAAUAGACAUUGUAACUGUGUAAUAAUCAUUACAAAUUUAUCCAAAUUAUAAUAAUUAGUCACAAUCUACUGUAAAUAAAAGAUAAAUAUAUCUCAUAUUUCACAUCUUCAAAUCUUGACAGCUGGACAAUCGUGGGCUUGAUUUUAGUGUUUUUUUAUUUUUUAUUUUCUAUAAAUAAUUUUUAUUUUCAAAUUUUCAAGAUUUAGAAAAUAUGUAUUGAGAAGAAAGUACUCUAAAAUAUCAUUGUAUUUUCACUUCUUCCAAAAAUACUAAAAACCUUGAUUUGUUUGUUCUCAGUUUUAAAAAUAUUUUUUAAAUUAUAAACAAACAUAUUUUUAUUCUUAUUUUUUAUUUCUUUAAAAAUAAAAACAGAAAAAAUCAAAUCAAAUUAUACCUAAAAAUAACAUUUUUAAGCCAUAAAAAAUGCAAGGCUGGUUCUUAGAACCCAUACAAUUGGAGAUUCCAUCUCCCAAAGCAUAGAAAAGAUAUAACAAUUGAAAAGACUCUUCAUACCUCUUAGGGGUCACGGUGGUGCUGUGGAGGCCUGAGGCUAAGUGUGAUGGUGCAAGUGAGGGAAGGAAGAAGAAGUGGUUGCCCGAAUUCGAGGAAGGGAUCCUCCUGAAGUCUAAAUGCAAUGCUUAUUCUCAUUAUCAGUAUCGUAAGAUCCAGCAGUUUAUAUACCGCAAGGAGUACAAGCACGAGGCAUCUAACUGCCAUAACGGAAUGCGUAACUAACUAUAACAAACUAAUAAGCACGUGUCUUAUUGCUACUAAUUUGCACGUGUUACUCAUGGGGUUACAACGAAUGGAUAGGUUGUUAGCUGAUAUAAUCUUGCAGAUAACUGGGUUUAGUUACUGCGCGAGUAGGCCUCGUCGUGGCGGUAGCAGGCGGCGUGGGUGCUAACAAUACCUUCUCCCCCAGACACCACCUUGUCCUCAAGGUGGUAGGCCUCUUGUAGUUCGGGCCAUGGCUCCCAGGAAGUGUCCUCUGGAGGUUGCCCAGUCCAUUGGGUUAGAACCAGCUGAGUUGGAGGGGAUGUAGAAGUAUCCAGCUUGCUGUCCAGGAUGCAAAGAGGGCGUUGUAGGGGUUUAUGGCCGAUGAUCUCCAGGGGCCAAGGUUCAGUGGCUGAGGGCAGAGCUCCGUGAUAAUGGCGCAACAAGGAGCAAUGGAACACAGGAUGAAUGCGUGCUUCAGCCGGAAGUUCUAGUCGGUACGCGACCUCACCUACUCGGGCCAGAAUCUUGAAGGGCUCAAAGUAACGUUUUGACAGUUUCGAAUGGUUGACUCCGGCGACUGAUCGCUGGCGAUUUGGGCAAAGCUUUACGUAGACCCAUUGGCCCACAGAAAAUGUUAUAUCCUCGUGUCGAGCAUCUGCAUAUUUCUUCAUGGAAUCUUGAGCCUUUUUCAGUCUUUUCUGCAACUUAGCGUGCAUAGUUUGACGGGAUUCAACUAGUGACUCAACAACUUCAUUGUUCGUUAAGCCGGGAAUGUAAUGAGGUAUUGACGGUGGAGGUUUGCCAUAUAUGACCUCAAACGGAGUGAGCCCCGAACUGGAGUGUAGAGAAGUGUUGUAGCACCACUCUUCGAGAGACAAAUAACGGAGCCAUGUCGACGGUUGGGAGUGUACGAAGCACCUGAGGUACUGCUUGAGGAAGCGAUUCAUUACCUCAGUCUGGCCAUCUGACUGAGGGUGAUACGCAGUGCUUAGCCGAAGACGAGUGCCGCAGAGCCAAAAUAGUUCUCUCCAGAAGGCACUCAGAAACACGGGAUCCCUAUCGGAAACGAUGCUCUUAGGGAAUCCAUGGUGCUUACAGAUGAUGUCGAUGAAUACUGUGGCAACCUUGAAGGCUGAAAACCCCGUGGGCAAUGCUCCGAGAUGCACCCCCUUGGAGUACCUGUCAACCACGACCAAGAUGACAGUGAAGCCGUUGGAUGGAGGUAGAUGGGUGAAGAAAUCCAUGGAGAUGUCUUCCCAUACCCCCGUCGGAACUGGUAGCGGUUGCAGAAGACCUGCCAUGCGCCUAGUGCUGGACUUAUUCUGUUGGCAAACCUUGCAUUCUCGAAUGAAUUGCUUAACAUCGUGCUUCAUUCCCUGCCAGAAGAAGCUUGAUUCGAGAUGAUGUGUGGUCUUGGCUAUCCCCAGAUGGCCACCAAGUGGUGUGGCAUGGAAUUCCAGUAAUAAGGAAGGAAUAUAAGGGUUGGUUUUAUUCAACCAAAUACGACCGUUGAACAGCAAAUAUCCCUUACUAAGGCGAAACUGAGGGUGUGCUGAAGGAUUCGCCUUAAUGUUGCGUACCAACUCCUGAGAACUAGGAUCAUCCUCAAGCGUUUGUUGAAUAUCACGCAUGAAAUCCAUUUGCGGCACAGAGAGGAAGAGCAGUUGGCCUGAAUCAGGUGGCCUACGUGAGAGCGCGUCUGCGACAACGUUAGUUGCACCAGCCUUAUAUUGUAUGGUAUAAUCAAAGCCAAGCAGUUUAGAGAGAUAGUAGUGUUGUUCAGGGGUUUGGAUCACCUGCGACAUGAGUUCUCGGAGACUCUUGUGAUCGGUGAGGAUAGUAAAUGGACGGCCGAGAAGGUACUGCCGCCAUUUGCGCACCGCCGCGAUGAUUGCAUAAAGCUCCCUCACAUACAUGGAAGCGUGUGAUAAACGUGGGCUGAAGUUCUUACUAAAAAAAUGCUAGUGGGUGUCCUUGCUGCAUGAGCACAACCCCCAUGGUGGUGCCAGAUGCGUCUGUUUCCACCGUAAAAGGCUCGUUGAAGUUAGGGAGAGCUAACACCGGCACACUGGUCAUGGCGGUUUUGAGUUUGUCAAAGGCAUCCUGCGACUCUAGUGACCAUUCAAAUGCGUCCUUACACAACAAAUUGGUGAGUGGGGUUGUGAUAGCUGCGUAUUUCUGAAUGAAUUUCAGGUAAAACCCUGUGAGUCUGAGAAAUGCUCUAAGUUCCUUGGCUGAUGUCGGAGUUGGCCAUUGGAUGAUAGCCUGAAUCUUGGACGGCUCGAGAGCUACACCAUUGCCAAAAACGACAUGCCCAAGGUACUCUAGCUGGGUUUGAGCAAAUAAACACUUUGUUUGCUUUAAGUAAUACUGACAUCGUAGAAGAGCUUGGAAGGUUAUGUCGAGAUGUUGAACGUGGGAUGAUAGUGAGUCGCUAUAGACGAGUAUGUUGUCAAAGAACACAGUUGUGAAAUGACACAGGAACGGCACGAGGAGGUGAUUCAUGGCUGCUUGGAAAGUCGAAGGUGCGUUACACAAGCCAAAGGGCAUAACGAGGUAUUCGUAGUGCCCAUGGGGAAAUCCCUGCCUGAGAUCGAGCUUGGAAAACCACGAUGCAUGGCCCAGCUCAUCCAACAACUCGUCAAUAGUAGGGAUUGGAAAGCGGUCGCGAAUCGUAACUGCGUUGAGGGAUCUAUAAUCUACACACAGGCGCCAUGUGUCGUGCUUCUUCUUCACCAAAAGGACUGGAGAAGAGUAUGGACUCAUGCUCGUCCUUAUCAGGCCCGCGGACAGCAGUUCAAAGUCUUGCUUCUCAAUCUUUGUCUUCUAAAAGUGAGGAUAACGGUAUGGUCGCACAUUUACCGGUGUCGUGGUAGGAAGAAGAGUGAGGAUAACGGUAUGGUCGCGUGAGGGGGGAAGGUGUGUCGGGGACUGAAAGAGCUUAUCAUAUCGGCGGAGAAGCCUUGCAACAAGUUCGGCUAGAGGGGGAAGAUGACUCACGGUGGAAGCUGUGGAAUCAUUAGAAAAAACGCAUAAGUGAAAUAAGGCUGAGGUCGAACCUGUGUGGAUCAAGCGUUUAACUUGGGCUGUUGAAGCAGGUUCUAGUCCAAUAGCUACAUCGGCUUGCAGGGAUAUUUCCUGGCCCAAAUGGGUGAACCUCAUAAUGAAGGAGGUAUAGUCAGUCGUGACCGACCCAAAUUGUUUUAACCAGUCUAUGCCAAGCACUGCAUCUGCCCCACUGAUUUGAAGUAAGUGGAAGGUGACUGGAAAGGAGUGACCCUAGAUCGAGAGCUGAGUAUUAGUGCAACGUUGGUUGCAGUCUAACACAGACCCAUUCCCGACGAGGACCCUUAGAGGAUGUGUGGUUUCGACGGGAAGGUGAAGGAAUUGCGCAACCCUCGGUUAAAGGAAGUUGUGGGUACUUCCACUGUCUAUGAGGAUGGUGAGGCGUGCGUUCUUGAUAGUACCAUAGAUGCGGAAUGUCUCUGAUGAUGGUAGGCCAGACAUGGCGUGAAGACUGACGUGGGGAAAGCUGGUGUCCAUGGCUGGUUCAGAAUCACCUCCAUUGUCUUCCAAGCAAGAGUUUGGUGUUAUGGAGUUGGGGUCACCAUCGUUCGGUGGUAAGUCAUAAGCAAUGAACAGUAGUAUGCGUCCCUUACAGCGAUGGUUAGGACUCCACUUAUCAUCGCAAUUAUAACACAAACCUUUCUCCCUACGAAACGCCAUGUCCUCCGGUGUACGUUGAACGUAUGGUGGCUUAGAUUUAGGGUUGAGGCUGGUUGAGGAACUGGAUGGGGAAGGUUGGAAGGGUCGUUGGAACGAAGAGCGUUUGUCGCACAACUUAUCUUCUUGUAGCUUGACGAGAGCAGUGGCCUGUAGAAGAAAGAUUAGCUGGAGAGCCAACACCUCGCAUCGAAGUUCUGGAUUUAAUCCAGAGAUGAAAAAACUUAACAAAAAUGGUGGGGGAAGUCCUACCACGCGGUUAGCCAAUUUCUCGAAUUCUGUUAAGUAGUUGUUAACAGAACCACGUUGCACAAGCUUGAAUAAAGCUCCCUUGGGAUUGUCGUAGAACGUCGGAGCAAACCGUGAUUCUAGAGCUUGAAGGAAUCCUUGCCAUGACGUUAUGAAGCCAUUGCUAAACAUCCACUGGUACCAGCUGAGGGCGGCACCAUUGAGGUAGAGUGAGGCUACGGUGAUUCUCUCUUCCUCCGGCGUGUUCUGAUACUGAAAGAGUUGGUUAAUCUUGAAUAUCCAUCCUAGAGGAUCGCGGCCAUCAAAGCGCGGGAUAUCAAGCUUAACAGAGUUGCGGUGGUUGUUCGAGUUGUUAGAGGAGGGCUGGUUUUGGUGCGCAUCACAUAUCCUAAGGUGGUCCAGGAUCGAAUCGACCCUAUCGGAGAGGUUCGUGUAACGUUCGGUGAGAUUUGCUUGGCUGUUAGUGAGGCGUGGGAUUGCGUCUUCCAGAUGGUUCGUGGUUGUCUUCCUGGUUCCAUGGUCAGCCAUGGCGAUGGCCGCAACGGCAGGUCGGACCAGUUGUUAGGGGUCAAGGUGGUGCUGCGGAGGCCUGAGGCUAAAUGUGAUGGUGCAAGUGAGGGAAGGAAGAAGAAGUGGUUGCCCGAAUUUGAGGAAGGGCUCCUCCUGAAGUCUAAAUGCAAUGCUUAUUCUCAUUAUCAGUAUCGUAAGAUCCAGCAGUUUAUAUACUGCAAGGAGUACAAGCGCGAGACAUCUAACUGCCAUAGUGGAACGCGUAACUAACUAUAACAAACUAAUAAGCACGUGUCUUAUUGCUACUCAUUUGCACGUGUUACUCGUGGGGUUACAACAAAUGGAUAGGUUGUUAGUUGAUAUAAUCUCGCAGAUAACUGGGUUUAGUUACUGCGCGAGUAGGCCUCGUCGUGGCGACAGCAGGAAGACGACGUUCAUCGUCGUCAAAGGCGGCAUGGAUGCUGUGGGUGCUAACAAUACCUGUGUAAUUCAAAAAAUAGCAAAGUUUGUGUCUUUCAGCUCCUUUCUUGUAGCUCAAGCUAGAAACUAGAGUAGAAUUUCAAAGUGUUGAUCUUGGCAAGAAAAUAGUGGAGAAAUGUCUCAAACCCACUCAAAAAAAAAAAAAAGAAGCAAAACAACAAGUUCCCUCUCUCCCUUGAUGUUUUCGACUCACAUACCCAGGGGAGGGGUGUGUUGUUUUAUUAGGAUUGGCACAACAUGUGCCAUGUGUUUAGGGUCCUUUAAUCCUAGGUUUAAUUAAAUUUAAUUUUUAGACCAUUAAUUACUUAGGUUUAACUCUUUACAACUAAUUAAUUAUUUAAGUUUACUCUUAUUAGUUAUUAACAUUCUAAUUUUUUUAGCCAAUUAACAUUCUAUAUUUAGAGGCCUUAAAUUCUAAUUUUAGUGACUAAUUAUUCAUUUCUGACAUAUUUAUGAAAAUGCCAUUAAUGAGUUGUUUGAUUUUUCCUUCUCUGUGAUCAUAGUUUACCAGAGUUUACUGCCUUUGACCAUGCUUAAACACACUUAUAUUAAUCUUUUCUUGGCUAUUUUUCUUGAUUCUUAUGCCCUAAUAGUUCCCUAGGUAAUUUAUUGAUGCUUAACUAAUUAAAACUUAUUUAACAAAAUUAUUUGGAUAAAACCUUUUUUUUAUCAAUUUUGAAUACAUUCUUAACCAUGUGAAAGUAGCACUGCUGCUCUAAAUUAAAAGAAUUUAAAUAAUUAGGUGGUAAACAUGAAUAUUAAUAAGAAAUGAAAUUCAACAUAUAUAUUGCAAAAUUGGAUUAAUUUAAAUAAAUUUAUUUCAACUUCUUCAUGUAAACUUUAUAUUGACAAAUCUCUUCGACUCAGACUCGAUCGUUUUCUGAAUUACCUAUUAAAUCAAAGUUAUUUCUAUCAUUAGAAAAAAGUGUCAGAGAAGAUUAUAUUUAUGACUUCCACCAAUUCAAUGAAUUGUCACAUUUAUUCGAUGCUUCCAUGACCUAUACUUCGUCAUCCCUGUGAAUAAAUUUUGCAUGGUAAUUUGGAAUAGGAUGCCAUACUGAGUUAUGCACCCCUUCCCUCCAUUAUGUAUCCGUCCGGUUUUAUUUCCUCAAAACAAAAGUUUAUGUAUUAGGUGUAUUGACUGAAUUCAAACAUGCAUAUAUUGCAUUAUAGUGGAAAUUUCUUAGAAUAUGAUUCUCCUGAUUAUGGUUCAAUAAACCGAGAAUUCUCGAGAAAAUUAAAAUUUGAUCUGAGGAAUAUCCUAUUAAUUAAUUCACUUCUACCCCCUAUUUAUUAAUUUUGAAAAAUUGAGAGUGAUUUUUUUAUAUACAAAGUUAACAAUAAGAAUUCAACUUAAGUCUUUAUGCAUCUAUUUAAUCCUCCACUACUAAAUCAACUUUAGUGAAUCAUUUAUUGAGAUUGAUUGAAUCGAUCAACCACAUUGUUCUUAGUUAUCUUUUAAUCUUUAAAUUUGAAUUUUUUAAUCUAUAUUUUAUAUGAAGAUUUAAAAGUAUUUAUGCAUGUAAUUGUUCCAAUUUAAUUAAUAAUUUUGAAUUCAAUCCUCGUUAUUGAAUAUUUAAUUGAGUUAAAUAAUCUUAACCAGUGAUUAUUACCUACUAGUCUAACCCGACUUGUGGGCCUAAAAAAAGAAAAAAUUACUUAUAAAUAUAUGCAAAUGAGAACUAAAUAUUAAUUAAUUCAAAAUUUCCCACGCUGUCUCGUUUGACGUGGAUAAGAUUUGAAGUAAAGUAGCUAUCAUUUCAUUAUCCAUCUUGCAGACAUGAAUGUUGAUGCUUUAGUACCUGGGCAUAUACUCAUUUCUUAAAUGCUACAAAGGUUCUACCAUAUAUGACUUAAAUUUGCACAACACUACAUUAUUUGCCACCAUGAGGUUUAAUAGCAAGUAUAUGCCAUAUUCUUUGCAUGUGACGCUGUAUUAUAAUAUUUCCAUUAGGGUUCAAAUAAUGCCUACCAGGAGGUUCGGAUUCCCCCUACAGAUGUUAGAAGCCAUUGAAUUCCAAAGAGAAUACAUAAAUAGCCAUGUUGAUGUUGACGUUUAACCUGAAAUAUAACUAAAUUAGCUACUAUAUAUCGGGUGAAUUUAAUCUAAUCUCUUACGCUCAUUGUUGCAUAAUAUUGGCGAAUAUAAGCCUAAAUUUCUAUGAAUUUAGAAAACUCGUUAUUUGAGCACAUGGUAUCAGUUCAUAAUUCAUUUAACCUUGUAAAGAUUUUGAUUCCCUUGGCGUUUAGAGAAUCAAAAUACAAAUUUAUCUCAAUUCCAAAGUUGAGAGAGAUAAAAUAAACGGUCUAAAGGAUUCUUUUGAGCUCAUUUUUUAAAGAUCUACUCGAAAAGACGAAAACAAUAGAGAAAUUAGUUUAAUCUGAAUAUUCCCACCGCGUGAAAUUUCUUUUGAACAUAAAGAUGGACAUGUUGAUAGAUGGAGAUCGUGAUUAGAUAAAAAAUGAAAGCUAGAAACGAAUGGUGAAGAUGAUGUAAUUUUUUGCAUCCAGAUAUGACUACAUAUUUAACUCAAUAAUAAACCAAAUAAUAUUAUAAUUUGUUUUGGACUGAACUCAGCACAGCAGCGAUCUUAGGGUUUGGAAUGUAGGUUAAUUUGUUCCAUCAUAUGAUAUGUAAAGGAUAAAUGAUCCCUUUUGUCUUUUAAAAGUGUAAAAUAAUGACAAUUCAGUUCAUAAAAUAAUAAAAUUUUGAUAAUUUAGGCUCCGUUCAUGAUCGUAGUGAAUUUCUAAUUUUUGGUUUUCGAAUGUAAUUUUUAAAAUAAAAUACAUUUGACAAAAAUGGAACUGAAUUGAUUUUUAACUCAAUUUUAAAAUAAUUUUACAUUAACUAUCAAAAUCAAGAAAAAAUAUUUUAUGAAUUUGGUUUAGUUUUAAAACACAUUCUAACCACACUUCCAUUACUACCACCGUCCUUGCCAUUGUCACUGCUUCCACUACCACUACCAUCAUUCUAUCACCAUUGUCAUUGUUACUAUCACUACAACCACAAUCUGCCAUUGUCACCUCACCAUCACACCACAGCCACCACAUCAUUAUCGCCUCCAUGAUGCGUAAAAUGUGUACUUGCAAAGGGCAAGUGUACUCUACGCAGUAGUAUCGUGAACUUGAAAAUCUGGAUAUCAUACUCUAGAGACUAAUAGUGUUUCCAAAUAAUCUAAAUCGCAUAAACUAAAUAUUUUCUUUUGUUUUUAUCUUGAGUUUGGGGGUUAUUUGUGUUUGUGUUUAAGAAAAUAAAACUUAAGAUAAACAACAAUUUCAAAUAAGAGAUAUGUAUGAAUAUAAAUGACUUAGAUUAUGAUUUCACAUGUACCGUAUUUCCCCCGAUUCCUAUUUUAAUUAAGAAUUCUCAGUUACCAAUUAAUCAUUUGGUACAUCUUAUUUUAAUUAUCAACUUAUUGUCAAGGUCUGAGAAUACUCUUCCCACUAAAUCAAUACAAGUUUUAUGAAUCAUAUUAUCUUACAAGUAAGUUAAUUACAAGAAGAUGGUUACUAGCACAUAAUUAACUAAUAAUUAAAGCAGUAGAAAGAUACAAUCAAUUGAAUAGCAUAUAAGAAUUUUAUUAAAAAGAGGAAUUAGAGUACAUGAGUACAACUACAUCACAAUCUGAGUUCUAAGAGGUUUAACCAACCAUGGUCUUAGAAUAGGCAAACAACAUAUAAUAUUGCAUUAGAAAUAAAAGAGAUUGAAAAUCCCAUACAAUUUUUAGGUUAUGCUUUUGUUUUAUUUUCGAACAACAAGAGCUUUUAAAAGGAAAACUACACUGGAACAAUUGAGGUAUGAAUCUGUAAGGGUUUUUGCUUCCCCAUUUUCACUCUAGCCUACCUAGAGAGGUUUGCAAUGCAGUUUAGUUCGUUUUUAGACAAAAUAAUCAUCUGAACCAAAUAUAAAAUAAAGGUGUGGUUCAGUUUAAAUAUAACAUUAAAUUUGAAUCAAAUCAAGCCAAUCUUAUACGGUUUGGUUUGGUUUAACAGUUUUUUUAAUAUAAUUUAAAAUUUAUCAACUAAACUUAUAUGAUUAUUAUGCUAUAUAAUUUAAAAAAUGGAAUUUAUUUUUUAUUAAAUUUUGUUUAACAUAUUUUAGUUGAAAACUAUUAUUUUCACUUCUAUUUAGCAUUAAUAUAAAAUGAUAUUACUAACUCUUUUUGUAACAUAAUAGUAAUUUGUGCAUCACUUGAUAUUUAACACUAUUUUUUAAUAAUAAUGCUAUAUUUUUUUAACAUAUGAAAGUAAAAUAUGCAUCUUGAUUAUAAAAUAAAAAAAUAUAAUAAAUUAUUUAAUACUUAUUAUUAAUUAUCACAACAAAAAAUUUCAUAUUACAAACUUAUUAUAUAAAGAAUCACACUAUAAAUCAUAUAUUAUAACAAUUAUAUAGUUAAAAUAAAACUAGCUACAUAAUGCUAAACAUCUAUUAAAUAAAAUCAAUAUAAUUAUAAUAUACUAUUUAAUUCAGUUUGGUUUGAUCUUUAUAACAAAAUCUGAAAAUUGAACCAAACUAAAAAAAGUAUGUGAUUUUUAAAAUUUUUAUUUUUGCGAUUUUUUGUUUAGGCAAUUUGCUUUUUUCUUUUAUUGGAUUUGGUUGGCAGUUUACAAACGAUUUGAUUCAGUUUUGAACAUCCCUAGACCCAACAACAAUUUUGGUGGGGUUGGGCUAGAACAUAAUAGAAUGGAGCAUUCAUUGGGGGUUUUAGUCGAGUGACAAAGAUGUGUGAUUGGGUAAAAAACAUGACAAAACGGAACAUUAUGCUUCAUGGGGAUUCAACCUAACGAUAAAGUUGUGUGUCUAGGCUAGAAACAUGAUAGAAUGAAGCAUUCAACUCUAGGGAGUUUCAACUCAGUGAAAGAAUUAAGUGGUUGGACCAGAAAUGUGACAGAAUGGAGCAUUUAGCUCAAUCUAUAGGGGAUUACAUCUCAACGACAAGGUUGUGCGGCUAGGCAAGAAAGUGUUGGAAUGGAACAUUUGGCUCCAAGGGGGCUCUGACCCAAUGAUAGAGUUAAGUGGUUGGGCUAGAAAGUGUUAGAGUGGAUUAUAUACCUAGGUGAGCUCUGAUUGGGAGCUAGUUUGUUGUAGUUGGGUGAGAGAAUGGAAAAAGAUCAUUUCUUGAUGCUAGGCCAUGAUUGAUGCAAUCCUACCCCGCAAGGGUAUUGGAUAGAAGACUCCAAGUAGAUUGGGCCAAAGAUGCAAGAGAAGGCCCUAGGGUUCUUAUGAGCCUUAGGGUAGAUUUCGGGCCCAUGGGCUAAGUACGAGCCCACUUAUCUUUGUACAUAUUAGAAUAAGGUUUCAUUAAUUUUAGGUCUUGUAUUUUGGGCUCCAUAAUGUAGGUAGGGUACCCUAGAAAUAUAGGAUUUUUCAGCCCUUGUAUUUUAGGGCACCUAGACUAGUUUUUGUAUUAGGGGUAGUUUUGUAAUUUCACAUGCACUAAGUGGAUAUUUAAUGUGUGUGGUUGGAAAUAAAUUUAAUUGAAUUGGUAGAAGCCCAAUCCAAUUAAAUUUUAGAGGGGGAGGUGAGCAUUUGCUUACUACACCCCAUUGCCACAUCAUAUAGUCACACUUUGUGCAUGUCCUUCAUGCUUUUCAUGCCUCAUGACACCUAAGCACACUUAGUGGAGAAUCUUGGAAUUGAUCUUGGAUUAGUGGGCUGAACCAUAACUAAAAUUCACUAAUCAUAAUUAGUGAAAUUUUGGCUCCAAAGUUUGGCUCCACAAAUUCAAUUUCAAAUUCAAGUGAAAUUUGAAUUUCCCUCCAAUUUUGUGUGACACUUAGGCUAUAAAUAGAGGUCAUUUGUGUGCAUUUUUUUCAACUUUGAUCAUUUGAAUAUUAAACUUCAGAUUUCAAAGCUCAUUUAGAGAACAAAAUUUCGUGUUCUUCUCUCCCUCUCCCUUCAUUCAUCUCCUUCUUCCUCCAAGCUCUUAUCCAUGGCCUCAUAUGGUGGUGAGCUUCUUCUAGACUCAUCUUCUCCUUGAAGUGGCGUCUCCUCUCUCUCUUCCUUCUCCAUUCCGCUGUCAUUCAUCUUCCAAGAAGUAAAGGAAUCCAUUGAUGAAGAAGAUCCUAGGCCUACAAGCUCCAAUGGAGCUUACAUCAAUGAUGUUAAGUGUUCCAUUGUUAUUAAGAUAACUACAUUAUUGGAAUAGUUAUGGUAUUAAUUAAAAAUGAAGUUUUAUCUUUAUGUGAUGUAAUUUAGUAGUUUUGAUGACUAUUUUACUGUUGAGAACAUCAUAUUGUAUUUUCAUUGAGUUGUGCAUGUUCUUGAUGAGAUGAUGAUGUGUGUGAUGUGAUUUUGGUGUUGCACUGGAAUCGCCCAUAUAUAUUAAAAGGAGUUAGUUGUGUUCUUUUGGGAAGAUUUUAUAGAAACUAGCUUAUUUAGGAAAAAGGUAAGUUCCACGCUAGGACUACGCUAAGAUUGGAUAUGAAUUAGAUUCUUAAAAAUCAAAUCCAUGCCCACCCCUAUCGCUUGGUUAUAUGUAUUUCACUUGGUUAUAGUGAUGAAAAUUGUUUUCUCAAAAGGCUUAGUUUACUCUUUUAGUGCAAAUGGGAUGGAUUGUUGGUGGUGGUAAAAAUUGGAUUGUAGGUGAGAUGAUAGGUAGAAGGUAUCAUAUCUCAAACCUCAAGUGAAUCUAAGUUUAGUUGUUGUUGUUUGUGAGUAAACACAUAAGUUGAGGAUACUCUAGAGGUCCUCAACCUAGUGUUGGAAGUUUUCCUGGUGGCUAACACCUAAUGCGCCUAAAGAAAAGAUGGGUGGGAGAAUCUCAUUACUUUCAAUAAAUCACACUUCCUCUACAGGGUUAAUCUGGGUCUUCCCCAAUGGCUAGGAAGACGAUUGUAUUAAGGGAUGCACUUAGGUUAAUUACUCAUGCAUGUAGUAUAAAUCUCCAUGAAGUAGUGUCUGUCUUUGGUUGUUGUGUUUGGUGUACUUGGUGAUGAUGAUUGAUAGACUCAUGAUGAUUAUGUUAGAUGAUUGACUUAUGAUCUUUAUAAUUGAUUAUGAUUUAUGAUAAUUGCACAUGAUAUAUUUUUUAUAUGAGUUACAUGUUAUUAUUAUUAAAUUAAAAUAUCAUGUUUAAAUUAUUUUUAAUUUGUUGAAGUUUAAAUUGUUUUAAGUGUGUUUGUUUUUUUUGUAAGCUUACGCUUAAGUUAUGAUGCAUGUGAUUGUUAUUAUGUUGAUCUCAAACUUUGUAUUUGCGUGAGCGAGAUUACUAGGAUGUGGAUCCUUCCCUUAGGAGCACUGUGGAUGGACAUGCAUGGUUGUGAAGAUGUGACCCCCUUUUCUUAUCUUUGAUUAGUUUUAUGUAUAAAGUUGAUCUUUUAUAAUGUUAUAAUAUGAUUAUAUUUACUUGCAUAAGGUUGUUCUAAUGUAUCUUUUGAUAAUAUGUUAAAGUGUCAUAAAACACGUGAUUUUAUUCGGUUAAUCAUUAUUGUCAUAGGUGUUUUAUCUUGAUGUUUUGAGUUUAACUUUUGACUUUUAAAAUAUGAAAAAAUUUAUAAACAUUUUUAUAAUUAAAUAAAUUAAUUGAAGAGUUUAAAAUAAAUUAAAAUGAAAUACUCUACUUUGAUAAUUAUGUAGUUAUCAUGUAGUGAUAAUGAAUCGUUACACGUAUAUUUACGAGCUAGAAUAUAACAUGGAUAGUUUCUACGGUAUAAAUGUUCCUUGUGUUUAGGAAAAGCAUUGUAAAACAACAAGGAGGCUCCAAAAAUAAGAGUUGUUCCUGUCGCAUGCUAGGUUGAAGAAUAAUCUUUUAUUAUUUUUGUGUUUGAAAAAGAAUCCGAAUCACCUUUUCUAGAUUUUGAGCAUUUAGAUGACUGUUAGGGCAUCUAGCAUUUUGGAUUUAAUUAGUUUAUUCUAAUUCCCUUUGUCUUCUCCAAAGUAAUAUUACAAAAGUAAACACAGUACUACAAUUAAUGAGACAAUAGGAAAUGGUUGCCACGUAUUUUGGUAUAUGAUCAAGUAUCUAUAUAUACCUUGAAACUUUAGAGCCACCGAAAUUAAAAGAUUGGUUUAAGGAUAAGAAUUUUACCGUACGUAUAUAUCUACACUACUUCGAAAAUCAUUGCCACUUUCCAUAAUAUUAGUUUUUCUUCCCUCACCCCCUCUAUUGGAUUCAAGGAUGAAAUAAAAUCAGCUUGUCAAAUAUUUGUCAUCUUACAAUAGAAUCUUAAUUAUUUGGCACACCAUUUUACAGUCAUAUUUUGGUCUCUAUGGUAAACUUGUUAAUAGCAACAUGUUUUACAUGCUUGCAUAUGUAGUAGUUUUGGUUUUAUGUGCCUACAAAAUAUAGGGACUUUUGUUUUAAAUCCCUGCAAGUAUAGCAAUUUUGUUUUUACUCCGUGCUUUUAUGUCUUCAAAAAAUAUAGCAAAUUUUGUUUUAGCCUUUAACGUCACAAUGGAAACCAAAACGUACAUACAUCAUAUUUUAACUUUUAAAAAAUGACGACGAACUUGAAUUUAAUGAGUUAGUGUCACAUUUAUCUAUAUUUUUAUUCUUUGGUAAAUCUGAAAAGAAUUUGAUUUUGAGACAUUUGAGUGAAAGAAAAUGUUUACACGAAAUUACAUAUCUAAUGAGUAAUGAUGUAUUCUCGAAUUAUUCAACUAAUUAAUACAAUAUUUUAUGUAUGUAUUAAUACAAUGAAACUUAUUACAUUAUAUAUCAAUAUAAGAUUAAAAAUAAAUUUGAUUAGACCGCACGUGCAUUGUGCUAUUCUAUAUACCAUUCAAGUGACACAACACUUGAUGAUAUUCACAUUUUCGUCAGCACAACAGAUAUCUUUUGAUAGGACAAGAUUAUUUAAAAUAAACGUGCUGUCGUAGAACAUAAAUAAACCAAAUAAAAAAAUGACCUUGUUCAUGAAAUGCUCUCUGCCUAACUCUUUUAAUAUGUGAAGUAACGAAUGGUGUGAAAUAAAACAAGUAUGAUAUUCAAAAAGAUAAAGGUAUAUAUAACUUUUUCUUUAGCAUUGAUUUUGCUCUUCUUGUGAUCUCCUAUACUUUAAUUGAAAGUUGAAACUAGAAAAUACCUAUAACGAGGAAAAGCCAGCACAGACACCUCAAUCGUGUGUAAUGACAAUAUAUUCUGUGCGUAGCAAAUGCAGAAUGAACAAACAUUCAAGUCGGAUAAGAAAACCCAAAAGAUUAACUGAAUGGAAGUGAUCCCACUGGGGACUGCCCCAAUAAUUAUAUUUAUUCUACCUAAGAUAUUAUUCAAUAUCUUAAGUUAAUGUGUAUCCAUCAGACAUACUUAUCAGAAUAGUAUUUCUAAAUAUAAUAUUUCUAAAAAUAUAAUGUUAUUACUAAAAUCCAGAACCUUAGCAUGUCAUGGUGUACCUGGCUAAGUGGGUCUCGAACUUCACACGUCGACGUUGAAGGUGCAGGAGAGCGAGGAAAGACUUACAAAACAAAUAACUCUAACACUCAAAUAAGAAUGCAUGUAAGAAGAGUAAAACAAGUAGUGCUUGUAAAGUAGUUCGUAUGAGCGAGAUAAAGAGAGAGACACCGACUUGUUGUUGUGCGCUGAGUGUGUGAGAACAGGUCAUGUAUGACUGCAUGCAGAGGGGUUCGAUGAAAUCUGUAUUUAUAGUAUAUGAGCGAGGGUAUUAGUCAUUGUUUGUAGGAACUGUUUGUUAGCCUUUAAAUAAUUCCUAGCUUAUAGAUAAUAAUCGGGAGCUUAAAGAUAAUUGUAGAGAUAAACAUUUGAAUUAGAGAUAAAGGUAAAAGAUAUUCGUAUCUUGUAGAUAAUGUGACGUUAUAGAUAAUUUAAUACCUGCCAAUAGAUAAGAUAUUCAAAUAUAUUUGAAUAGUAGUUAGGUUAGAGAUAACCUAUUUGUUGGGGAGUCGACUGCUAAAAGCCAAUCGUCUGCGCUCGUGGAGCAGGGCUGACGUGAAGAGUGAACACGUGUCUCUGAGUGCCUAAGAUUUGUGGGUCCUGAAUAGUAUAUAUACUAUGUUAGGUUGGCAGUUUCAUAUUGAGUAAAAUAAAUUAUUUGAUUGAUGUAGUACUUAAUGAUAUUCUCUCACUUAAUGAACUUAUCUUUUGGGUUGAGCUUUUUUUAUAUGUUUAAUUCUUAAUUUGGUACUCCCAUUGAGAGUCGCACAACAGACAAGACUAUGUUCCAAUAGGCUGAAUUAUAAGAUGUAAACUGAAAUUGAGUAUUUUUAUUUUAAAAUAAAAAAUCAAAAUUAUAAAUUUUACAAAAUCGAAAAACUAAAGUUGUAAUUAAGUUUAAAAUAAAUUACUUGAUACUUAAGUCUUAAAGUUUUUUCACCUAAUAGAUUAGUUUUUUAGAUUUGACUCUUCUCUUUUAUUUAAGUCCUGAAUGUCCAAAAAUGCAAUAUUAUAUUUUGAAAUAAAAUGCUCCCUAUUUCUUAACCAAGCGAGUGCAUCUAAACCUAAUAGUCCAACUUUUAAAUCACAUAACACCACAAUGGGCCAAGAUGUUUGUUUGUAACGGUAGGCCAAGGCUCGCAUGGGAACCCUUUAAGGGUGUUGCACGCUGCGUGAGGGGAGUUUCCAAAAGGGAUGCCCUAUGCGUGUGGUUUUUAGACCGUUAGAUGUAAAUUUAAAAUAUUUAACGAUGGAGAUUGGGAGGGUGUAAUGUAUCAAUAGAAUAUGAGAUAACAACAUGCAUUAUUUUGUAGUCUUGUAUACGUAUGCGUCCAAUCGUAUUUCUUCUCCGAAGAUGCGAAACUAAACCCAUAAGUCCGCACAUGGUUUGUCUUUCUCCAUGACAAGUUGAGUCUAAAACCCUUGCUUGACCCCGCUCAUACCUUGAUUUGUGCAUGUUUGUGGUGUAUCACCUUCCUCGUUUCACCAUUCUAGUUUAUUCUUCACGUUCUAAAAUUUUUGUGAUUUAAGAUUUUUAAUCCAAAUUGCAACCAUAAAACCAAAUAGAAAUCGUUUUUCAAAAGUUUUUUGUUUCAAAAUAUUUAUGUUCAAUGUUAAAAUUGGUACUAAACAAUCAGAUCUCUACUUGGGUUAUAACCAGAUCUGAUUUGAGGAUCAAAAUAAUCAAAAUGUAAAUCAUUUUAAUAUUUUAUAUAUCAUAAUACACACAACCUUUUUUAUAAGGUGAAGUGGUGUAAUGGCAUGGUUUUGUUUUAAUAUUGUCUCAUGUGAGUGUUCUAUCUCACUCACCCUCUUAAUCAACCUUUUUUUUUUAUAUCAAAAAGUGAAAAUAAAAAAAUUAAAUAAAAUACCAAUGAUCAGAAAUCGAACCCAUGUUAAUGCAUUUAAAACAAGUUAAAUUUACCACCCUUCCAGCAAUAUUAAAAAAGAUAGAGCCAAUUUAGGAUUUAUAUAUACUCACAUUAUUUGUUUAAUUGCACUUUAAAAUAAUGAUGAAUAAUAUGUAAGUUUUGAUUAAUUAAGUAAUUUUUAAAUUGAAUAUUUAAAAUUUAUUUCAUCAUUCAUUAAUAUUUAUUUCAUCAUUUAACCUUGGAUUUGUCUCUAUUUGAAAAAUUUGUUUGAUUGAAAAGAUUAGACUUUAGGCCAUUUAAAAAACCUUUUAGGCAUAACAUGCAUGCCUAUUUAAGUAAAUAUAAAUUAUAGUCACUUGCUUAGUAUUAUUAUUAUCAUAUUAAAAUUGUUAUAAUGCAUCAAAAUAAUACAUUUGUUUACCUUUUUAAAAUAUUAUGAAUGUUAACCUACAUAAAGAGUCAAACAAUAUAAGUUUAUUGAGUAAUAAAAUUAUGUUUAAUUAGAGGGCUUAUUACAACAGAUUUUUUUAACUAAGUUAUAUUGAAGGCGAUACACUUAAAUCAUAAUAAUGUGUUAGACUUGACUCUUAUAAAACAUAGUUUGCAUAUUUUCACCUUUGUCUCUUGCUUUGAGUAACGAAAAUUUUGAUUUUUAUAGAUUAUAGUUUGGUUCACAUAAGGUUUUUCCCAAUGGUUUGUGAGUCUAUUGUCCAAUGUAAAGAUGCCAGAAAAGUUAGACUUAUAUAAAAACUUUAAUAUGACAAGUCUUUAAGUAAGUUAACAAACAAAAUUUCAAAAAUAAAGCCUAUGACAAACAAUGAAUCAGGUUUAGGCCUUGAGAUUUUUAAACAGGCUAAGCCUAUCUUGUUCGACCUAGUCUAUUCCGACCCCUCGAUCCAGGUAAUAGGAUUUUUUAAAAGGGAGGUUAUAGGAAAAAAUACUAUAAUAUUCUACCAAGUCUCUAUCCAUUGUCAUUCCUACUCAGUCAUAGUAUCUAAGGUUGUAAGUGGGUCACACCCAACCCAACCAAUUACAUUUUCGUGGAUUGGGAUGGGUCAUUGGAUUAGGUUGGAUAUAUUUUAGUGAACCCAAUUAAAAAUAGAUUAGAUAAUGGGUUUGGAUUUUUGGACUCGAAUAAACUGAUAACGGCUAAUUAUGAGUAUAUUUUUGGAUUAAAUUAUAUAGGAAUUUAUAAUUUUUCUCUCUUAAUUCUUCCUUUUUGAGCAAAUAGUUGUUAAAUUAAUAUCAUUUAAGUUUUUGUGCAAAGAAUAUUAAAAGUGAUGAAUUUAUGAUGCUUAGUGAGUAAAAUAAAAUCCAAAAAAGCAGAAUAAUUAAGGAAAAUAGAGCUAAUUAGGGAAAGCAUGAUAAUUAAGGAAAGUAAAAGCGGAUUUAGCGCAAGAAACCCGCUUAGCACUAAGCUAAUCUGCACCUAUAAAAGAAGAAAAGAGAAGAAGGAAAAAAUACACAAAAAUUCCAUGAGAAUAUAAUUUCUUGUAUAAGGCAAAUGCUAGAAGAAAGAGAAGCAAAUAUUGGGAGUCAUUCCUUUCCUCAAUUUCCUUUCUUAUCUUUUCCCCCUUCACUAAAUAUUCCCCUCUUGCAAUUCUAAAGACUUCAUGGCAAUGAGAGACUAAAUUCCCUUUGUUGAGAACUUGACAACCAACUAUUCUUGAUGUAAUUUCUCUUCCUAUCUAUUUAAUAAUAUUACAUUUACAUUAUUCUUUCAUGUGGUUAAUAUUAUUGCUUAUGGCUUGAUCACCUAUUUUGCAUGAUAAGUUUUAGGGGUAGUGUUGGAAAAUGUUAUUUUCUAAUAGAACCAGGAAAUAAUAGCUAAAUAAAGUCAUCAUUAGGGAUAUGUUGAUUUUUGUUUAGCCUAUUAUGCAUCUCUAUUCUUGAUGCAAUUUACUAUUUUAUCUCUAUAAAGAGAUUUGGAAGAGAAAAUAGAUAAAUUAGACUCUUUCAUGUGAGGGAUCAACGUUAGAGUAUACUAGUAGAUGCAAAUGUAAAUUGAAAUAAUUAUAAAUAGAGAAAUCAUUAACAUUACAUCAAAAAGUAACUUUGGUAGGCUAAGUUUCCAACAUUCUCAUAUUUUGAAUUUAACUUCUAUAAUAAUUGGUUUUUUUUCCUUUAUGUUUUUAAUUAAUUAUUUUAAAUUCUUUUUUAAUUCUUCUUUUGUUUGAUUUAAUUUUCUGCCAAUUUAAAUUACUAUUUUCUCAUAACCUUUCAAAUCAUAUUUUCUUUAACUUCUUUUACUAAUAAAAUAUUCAUAUGCUAACGUACAAAUAAAGUUCAUGUGGAUUCGACACUCGGACUUUCAUUUUAACUUUAUUACUUGAGACGAAUUGGUGCACUUGCUAAUCCAUCAACACAAACCCAAUCCAACCUGAAUAUACAAUAACAUAUAUAAAAAAUUCUAUUUGUUUGUCUAGUAUCUAUUAUUAUAGAUAAUCCAAAGGCACAAAGUAAACUCUCAUACCUGGGUCACUCUCACUCACAAUAAUUGAACAUGUAUUAAUGCUAUUUGGGACCAUGUUUUAUGAUUAUUGUUUACAUUAUUUAUGUUUUUAUGCUUAUUAUUGACUUGAGUAUUAUGAAUGAUUUAUUUAACACAAGUCAUAGGUGUAUGGUUUACUUAAGCACAUGAUGAUUUUGAAAAUAUCCCUUAUUGUUUUUUAAUUUUUAGUUUGAGAUAUUUUUCAGGAGUUAAAGAAGUGACAAUUUUUUUAAUGACUCAAUCGAUACACCCCUAAUAGUAUCUAUACAUUUGCCUCGAUUAGAUUGUCUUUAGCUAAGCCUCAUUAAGAGUAUCUUCACCUCAAUUUCAACUUGAGUAUCUUCAACGCAUACUUAGCAGAGUAUCUUUGCCUCGGACUUGGCCUUAAUCAAAGUAUAUUUGCUUCAGACUCAGCCUUAAUCAUAGUAUCUUUACCUUAGACUCUAUCUUAAUCAGAGUAUCCUCAACUUAGUCUCAACAAGAGUAAUUUAACCUUUUUUCUUGGCCAAAGUAAUUUGAAUUCGACAUAAGCUAAAAUAUCUUCACCUCUAGUAAUAAAAUACCUUUAAGGUUAUAAUAGUUAUACAUUACUGCUGACCUACACCCAAACAAAUAUGAGGAGGCUAUAUAGUAUACAACUUGGAGAGUUAGACUUUUAAUUUUUCUUGUGAUUUUUUAAAUGUCCUAAAAUUUGAACUUUUUAAUCAAAUAAGUUUUUUAAAUAAGAACGAAUCUAAGGUGGAAUGAUGAAAUAAAUAAUAAAUUUAAAUUAGUAAUUUUAAUGAAUGUAAAAUAUUUAAUCUAAUGUUUCAUGAUGAAAUAAAUUUGUAACAUACAAUUUUAAAAAAUAAUUAAUUAAUUAAAACUUACCAAAUAAUUCAUAAUUAUUUUCAAGUGCAAUGAAAUAUAUAUCAUAAGUAUAUAUAACUACCUAAUCGUUCAAGUAUGAUCCACUUAUUGGAAGGGUGGUAGUUCCAAGCCUUUUCAAAUCGAUCAGCCUGAGUUCGAUUCUUCAUCACCCGAAUUUGUUUUAAUUUUUUCUAUUCACUUUUUGAUAAAAAAAAAUGGCAUCAUGGGGGAUCGAGCACUCACCUCGGAUAAUGUCAAAACAGGACUAAGCCACUAGACUUCGCUUUACAAGACAUAUUGUAUGUCAUAUAAUAUAUAAAGUAUCAGAAUAACUUAUAUUUUCAUCAUCAACCUCGAAUCAGAUAUUUAGAUAUGGUUAUAACCCAACUGUAGACUCUGAUCGUGUUAGUAUCAAUUUUAACAUCGAAUAGAAAUAUUUUGAAAUCAGAAACUUUUCCAAAACAAUUUCUAUUUGGUUUAUGGUUUCACACGUGCAUAAUAUAUAUGUACAUGUUUCAUAUAUAUUUAUCUCAUUUUUUUACGGAAAAAAGAAGAAUACAUUUAUCUCUCUUAUUAUGUAUAGGGUUUUACUAUGAUUUUAUCCCGAGAAAUUCAAAUAUAAAAUCUAUUCUUUUAGCUAUCUCCCAUACUUCAAAAUUAAAGUUCAUUUUUUUUGCCGAUAAUUUCUUCAAAAGUUAAUCUUACUUACAUAUCAUUUUUUUAAAACUACAUUUUUUUUAAUUUAUAGGCCAACAAAUAAUAUUAAGGGGAGUACAAAUAUGCUCCAAUUCUUUUAUGACAAGGUCAUAGACUUGCCCCCUCAAAAAAGAAGAAGCUCAUAGACUUGCUAUUGACUUAAAAUCCCAAUGCAAUUAAUGAAACGACAACAUAAUAUAAAAAAACAACAUAUUCUUAUAAUAAAUUAGUAGCAAUAGUCAAAUCACACCUAGAUAUACCCUCUUUUACAGAGAAAAAAUAUUUUUCUUGUAUUCAAGAAAAAACCUUAUUUUUUAAAACCCACCUUUGGGAGGAUGUGCAAAGAUUAAAUUAUCUUUUCCCAACUAAACGGCAACUUUAAUCGUGCAAUAAUUAAACUCUAAAAAUAACUUCAAGUUGGCGACAUUCCAUACUAGCUCAAUUUCUCUUAUCCCCUCUUGGCAAUCAAUUGAUCUAUUUAUGUGCUGCUCGUGAUCACUAUAUAUGCCAUGCCAUGCCAUGCCAUGCCAAUGUCACUAUAAGGCGCAAACAUUGAUUUUGCACACAUGGAUAAUCUAAGAUUAGGGCGUUUUCACUUGUGAUUCUUACUUGUUAUAGAGACAUGAUAAGCAUGAAAAUUGUAACACGUAGUUGUGACAAUAAGCACCUUAUCCUAUGAAAAUCCAUGAUCAUGCAUGGUAAUUGUUCCGUGCACGAAUUCAUGGACAAGCUGCAACUCAAUUAUCUAGGCUGUGUUUUCACAGUAUAAGUGCUCAAGCUUCAAAGUAAAAGCAGAAGUACAUUUCAAUAUCUAAGCUAAUUAAUUUAAUGCUAAUGCUCUUUUAGGCACGAUGAGAUCUUGUAUCAAGUUUUCUCUAUUUAUACUUCACCAAAGAAAAAGUUUGCUCGAUUUAUCUAGCAAUUAGGCAUUAUCUACUUCCGUAAGAAGGCUGAUCAAGAUUUUAUUUUGUCUGCUGAUUGAUUUACAUCAUCGGAUAUGCUAUACAUGGUUUUGUCUUUAUAAAAUACUUUCCUUAAUCUGAGAAAAUUUAAAACUUUACGUAUAUGAAAUACAAAUUUAUUCUCUUGGUGUACAUGAUUUAAUUAUACAUAUGCAUGCUGCAAAAAUAAAAGAGAUCUUUAAAAAAAAAAAAACUAUCAUAUUUAGUGCAUCUUCAUUAGUUAAAAUUUAUUGAAAAUAAAAAAAUUGUAAGCUCCACAUCUUAUUUAAUAAUUUUCUUUAAUUUUAUAAUUUUCAUUAAAUUCUAACUUAAAGUGUAGAGUUUGUUAGAAAAAAAAAAUGUGUUGAUAUAGGAGAGAAGAGGUUCUUUCUUCCACAUGUAAGUGUCAUCACCUUUGGUUUGUUGGAAAAAUCUAGGCAUUUUUUCAGUUUGGUUUCUUAUAUUUUGGUUGAGAUACCAUAGCAAUUUCAAUCUGAGACAACUAAGAGGAAGGUUUUGUCCUUAACAACAACAUUGACGACCCUCUCUUGUUCCCUCUUCCUUCAUCGCGAACCAUCACCCGUCAUCGAGAAUCUUCUGCAAACAAUGGUGUGCGGCUUCAUCGUCACCAAUGCACUCAAGCUUGAUCAAUGUCAAGACCUCUUCGAGAGAGUUAGUGAAAAAAUAAAACUUAUUAAUAGUUGCAGUUAAAAAUGUUACUAUGUUAGAAGUACUUACCCUAUAUGUGUUUAGUGGUAUUUUAAAAUUAAACUAUCAAAAGUGUGUUAGCACUGUUUGAGAUUUAACAUAGAUAUGACGGAGGGAAAAAUCACAAUAUUUUGAAAAGUAAGACAAAAGGUGCGAGAAAAAAGUUGGAAACAAAAUUUAAUUUGUGAAUAAGCGAUAAAUCAGAAAUAAAAUGUGCAAUUAAGUCAAAUUGAAAAAAAAGACGAGAUUUUCCCUUUAAUAUCAUGAGCCGAUGUUCUGUUUCUUUGGAGGAUUUACUGUGUUCCCCACUUAACGUAAUAAAGCUGUGCAGGUAACGCCAAUUUUAAAGGGCUAAAAAUCAAAUAAUGCAUUAAUUGGCAAUGGAACAAUCGUAAGGUUGUUGUCCACUAUCAAGAACUUUAUAUUGAGAAUAUCAUAAUUAUAUGGUGUAGUAUAUUCAUAUUUAAUUUCUCGGGUUUCAAGCUGGCAACCAAUUAAAUAGAUGUAGAAUUAUUUCAUUUAUGUCUCUACAACCAAAUCAUAUUUGAAUUAUAUAUAUUUGCUUCCUCAAAAAAAAAAAAAAAAGAAGCAAAUUAAGUGUAUGUAGUACUUGAGAGAAGAAUGCCAUAACCUGGAUGACUUCGAAUCUUUCGAUCAUCUGUGACGACCAUUAUAGCUACAAGGAAAAAAAAAAGUAGUUUUUUAAUUGCAUUAUCAAUUUUUAUAGAAAGAAAAUCUUUAUGAUAAUAAAAAAUCGUUUCCAUGCGACUUUCCUAUAAGUAGUGUUCAUUAAACACGUCAUUUUUUCUCAUAAAUCUUCUCAUCUAUAUACAAACACAUUUAAUUUAAGCUCACGUACGUCUUCCAAAUUAUAACAUCGUACGUGGACUAGAUAUAUGCCACAUAUUUGUCUAACUAAACUUUGAAAUUGCAUGUUUCACACGUAUAUACAAUUUUGUUCUUAACUUUGUUGAUCAUAAUAUAUAUAUAGAAACGAAAGAAAUUAAAGGAAACAAUUGUUAUACGCUUUUGUUUCAAGUUGGGGUCAUAUCCAUCAUCUUCUCAAAUAUAACAAUGUAUACCCAACCUUUCUAUAGCAUCAUAUCUCUUGAUUGCGGAGUUGCUUUGUACUUGUUGACACUACACCAGUCCAAGAAUCUUUUUGACUGAAACUUAAUGUUUCAUUAUCUCUUCGUAUCGAUCGUCGAUUAAUUAUUAAAAUAAAAAUAACUUUAUGCACGAAAAGUUAAGAGGCAAUUGUAGGAUGAUUGAUUUACAACUUUGGCAUGCUUAAACUUUGGCUUUACAUAAAAGUGUUGACUAGCUUUUAGAUAGCAACAGAAACUGACUCAUUAGACACUUGUCUAAUGAAAGUUACGAAUUGAAUUAUAGUCAAGGCACCAUAUGUUUUGCGCCUCAAAUAAAUGUUUUAAAAUUUAAUUAGUUUUAAGAAAAAUGUUAGGAAUAUAUACUAUUUAAUACAUUCUUUAACAUAAUUUUUAGAUUAGUUGAAACUUAUUAAAAAUUAAAAAAAAAAUUGUAGAUCACAUUUCUUAUUUAAUGAAUCUAGCUCUUUUUUUAUUUUAUAAUUUUUAAUAAAAUUUAAUCAAUAAAAAAAUGUGGUAGGAAGUGUUCUCCUAGCCUUCCUCUAGUUUUAAUACAAUAUUUAUGCAAUGCUCUAGGCCAUAGUGUUGAUUCUCCCCUUGGCUGUUUUGGAGUUUUGUUUAAGUGUUGAUUCUCCCCUUGGCUGAUUCUUAUAACUAAUCGCAAAAGAAUCGAAGUUUGUGGAAAUUAUUCGAAUUCUUAUCGAGGGAGUAAAAAAUUCUAAUUACAAGCUUAUAACAAUUAUAAAAAAAAACAAAAGAGAUUAAUAAUUGUGAAAGUGGGUGUUAGGUGCAGAAUUGAGCUAGCUUCGAGGGCCAGUACCUCCAGAAGCUUAAGGAAGAAGAAGAAGGAAAUUGCACAAGGUAUUAUUCAUAUGCUUGAUUGAUUAUUACAUGGCUAUAUAUAAGAGUUUCUACUAACAUAAUUUGUACUCUUCUGCCUAUAGAAUAUUCUAUACGGUUAUAUUUGUCUAGCUGUGAGGGACAAGAUACAAUCAAGCAGUGUAUGGUGCUAAGCUGAGCUUUGGGCUGAUGAUGCUUCCCAUUUUACCCUUACGCAUAGUCCUUCAAGUAAGCUGGUCUCGUAACCUUCCUUUUGGGCUUCUUUGCUAUUUGCACCACUUGUACUUUCUUCUGUUGCUUCGUGUCCAUGUUCCCUGGUGUUCUGUUUGCUGCUUCUGAUAUGCUAACACUCCCCAGCCCUUGGAACACCACCUUGUCCUCAAGGUGGUGAGUUUCACACAGUUGAGUCCAAUCUUCCCAGGAGGUUUCAUCUGGGGAAAGGCCUUGCCACUGAACCAGUACCUCCCAUGGAGCAUCAUCAUCUGUAGAGCUACGACGAUAGUCCAGAAUAGCCAAGGGAACUACUAAGGGUUGACCAUUGAUUGCUUCGGGAUGUAAUUGAACUUGCGGGACUGAAUCAGGAGAGCCUUGGAAUGCUUUGAGAACAGAGCAAUGGAACACCGGGUGUAUCCGAACACCUUCAGGGAGCUCUAAUCGAUAUGCCACUUCGCCUAUACGUUCCAGGAUCUUAAACGGGCCAUAAUAACGCUUGGCCAGUUUGACUGAGGAAGUGGGAGUGCCUUUGGCAGUGCUUUGCCGGUAAGGGCGGAGUCGAAGGAGAACCCAGUCCCCCACUUGAUGAGUAACCUCUCUCCUCUUCGUAUCAGCAUAUUUCUUCAUGUUCUCUUGCGCCUUAAUAAGCUUCCAGCGAAUAGCUUGGAAGGUGGUGUCCUUCUCUCCAAGCAUGUCAUCUACUGCCGCGAUAUUAGAAGAGCCGACAAUGUAUUCUGGGAAUGAAAAGGUUUCCGGCCAUAAGUGAUUUCGUAAGGUGUGGAACCUGUACUCACACUCCACGAAGAAUUGUGCGACCACUCAACCCAAGGUAGCAAUUUGCCCCACAGCCCCGGCCGACGAUGAACGAAGGCGAGUAAAUACUGUUCGAUCACUCUAUUUAACACCUCUGUCUGGCCGUCACUCUGUGGAUGAUAAGCCGAACUCAUCCUUAACAGAGUGCCACUUAGGAGAAAAAGCUCUUGCCAAAAGCGGCUGAUAAAAAGUGGAUCCCGGUCGGAGACCAAGCUCUGGGGAAGACCAUGCAGCUUGACCACGAUGUUGACGAAUAGUGACGCCACCAUGUGAGCCGUGUGGGAUAUGGGUAACAUACCAAGGUGUAUCCCUUUGGAGAACCUAUCAACUACUACGAGGAUCACCGUGUUACCCUGGUAUGCCGGAAGGCCGACAAUAAAGUCAAGCGAGAGGUCCACCCACGGCUGAUGAGGGACCGGAAGGGGGCAGAGAAAACCGGAUGCUUUCUUAGCUUCAUACUUAGUGAGUUGGCAUUCUAAGCAUUGGGCCACAAAACGGAUAACAUCCUCGCGGAUACCAGGCCAGUGGAAAUUCUCUGAUAAGCGGGCCAGGCGUGGCCCCCAGUGGGGGUUGCAUGAUAUUCGAUGAGUAAGGUUGUGAUUAUCAGCAAGUUCUGACACAACCAAAUGCGCACCUUGUUGAGAACUAAAUUCUGAGUUACUGAAUACUCAGGGUGCUCUGCCGGAAAGUCCAUGAUAGCCUGACGUUUGUGGCGAUAAUCAUCAUUAGUGUCCAAUUGUUGGCGUAAUUCUGCGAGGAAGAUCAAACUAGGCACAGACA
rnacentral:lncRNA from 1 species